rnacentral:lncRNA from 1 species
UUUUUUUUAAAAAGUCAUUGAAACAACCGUCAUUAUCUCCUUUUUUGUUGUAGUGACUUUGGAUAUACUAUUAGAUACAUAAUUAACAAAUCAAAGGAUUGAGUGCAAUUAAUUACAAUAGAUUUUUUUGUAGAUAUUAGAAUUGGUAUAUAUUUUUCUCUAUCUACUGAUGGAAUGAAAAAGCAUCCUAGCCUCCUACGAGGGUCUAACCUUGUGAUUCUCCACUGUAUCAUAUCAGGGUGAUCCAUGGCUUGGUAGUCUUUUCCCUAAAACCUCUUCAUAUUGGCUCGUAACCGAUUCAAAAUUCACGAAAUUCAUAUAGAUCGUUCAAUGAAGUCCCCUAAUCAAGUUCAAGGUAGUCUUUGGUUAUUCUGGAAAUAUGACUAAUCUACUUCAGUACAAACUGUUGAAGUUACAGAAGAAACAAGCCAUGCAUAAAUCACCCACACCCCUCUUCCAAAUUAACAAGCCAUGCACAAAUCAAAUUCCCAUACAUCAAUAUUAUUUUACAUGUCUUUUUAACAGACUGAAUUCAUUAAGACAGAAGAGUAGAUAACUCAGAGGUGAAUCCUACAAAGCCACUUCUACAGAACCCCAAAGAUGUAAAAGGUCAGGAACAGACACCCAAGCACAAAUGCAGAGGUUGAAAGCUCUGAGGAACUGGGUAGCACCAAAUAAAUGCCAGAAGUAAAUGCUAUCACCAUUCCUAGGAUGGAAACGUAUGUGAGUAUGGCUGAAAAUUUUAUGAAACGUAGAAGCAGAUGAUAGCUUCGUUCCAGUGAAGCAAAAAAGUGGAGAAACACUGCUGCAGUUGAGCAAUAGAAAGCUAUACCAUCUGACAACAAGAAGGCCUUGAAGGCUAUCUUUGUUGAGAGAACUGCUUUACCUUUGUCGGGGCCUUCAUCAUUGUACCCACCAGGUAGAGUAAAGCCUGCUGCAAAAGUGACAGUUGCUAUGAGCGUCGCGACCAAUAAAUGGGUGUUGGAAAUGUCCUUGAGACGAUGAGAUCGAAGUUGCUUUUCUUUCAUGAUUUCUCUGUUCCUAUCAAGAAGUAUACUCAUAUUGCUAGCAGUACGAGACGCGCCAUCACUGCUCUGAGUACUGGUCUCGCUAGCACUACGAUAUAUGCCAUCACUGGUCUUUUGAUGUCCAUUGUUAUCAGUCCACAUAUUUGCAUUUUCCUGGUAUCCUUCAUUGUCACCAUUUUGCAUAUAUGCAUUUUCUCUAAUGACCAACCGGUGUAAACUUUGUCGACCACCAGCAUGCUCCAACUUCCUCAUGAUCCAAUACUGGCAGUAAUUUGAAAGGAAUUAGAAUGAACUUUUAAAGCAAAGCUAUGGGAAAAUUUUUGAAUCAAGCAUUGAACAAAAUCCAGUGGCUAGCUCUUAAAGAGUACAUCAAACACAUUGAAUAAUAUUAGCCAUCCAUUUCAGAUACUUUUUUUUUUUUUUUUCUCUUUUUUAAGUAAUCGCUUAACAGAUUGAAUGGCUAUAAUCAUUCAACAUGAUCUUUCUGCAUCAAAUAUCUUCAGAGAGAUAUGAGAAGCCUCACCAUGUCUAAUUAAAAUUUGUCUCAAACUUUACAGUAACGUACCUUGAUUAUUUCUCCAAUAUCCAUAUUUGACUGGACAAUGUCAAUAGUCUUCAAAUACUCAUUGUUCAUUGCCCUUUUGUCCACUCUAUCGUCUGCAGCCAACAUAAUCACAACCCCGUAAUGUCCAUAAAUGGCAGCUAGAUGAAGUGGUGUGUUACCUUCCUUAUCUGGCUCAUUUAUGAUACUUUCCAAGUUUGGCUUCUUCAGGAUAUACUUAACGACUCUAGCGUUUCCAUAUUGAGCUGCAACAUGAAGAAUUGUGCGCCCUUUGUUGUCAAUCAAAUCAUAAACAUCUGGAAGACAUGUGAUAAUCUGUUCCAUUACAUUAGUGUGGCCCUCUUUGGCUGCAAUGUGGAGAGCACAACUGUGUUCUACAUCCAAUAAGCCAGCAACAGAUUUGUCAUACUUCAGUAACUUCUCAGUUGCUUCGAGGUGACCCAAGUGGGCAGCAUAGUGAAGAGGGGUCCACCCAAAUUCAUCUGCCUUUUUUAUCACAUCCUUCUUCAUUUCAAAUAGUACUUCCAAAAUAUCUAUACAUUGGGAGAAGAAGGUUAGAAAUCUUAAAAAGAAGUGGAAGAAUCUACUUAAAUAGCAUUUCAUACCUCACCAAAAAUCUGUCAAGAGAAAUGGAAAAGGCGACCAAAACACCCUUUCCCCUAUAUUUUAAGCAUAAAAAUGUCCUCAAUAAUGAUCCCCUUCAUUUCCAAAAAAAAAGGAAAAUCCUCAUACAUCUUGAUAAAUAAACACAUGGCUUAAUCAGUUGUAUGGUUUGAAGGUCCUUUCUUUUUUCUUAUAUAGGAAUGGGUGUUCAAAUAGGGUGAGAAUGGAGAGAACUCUCCACUCAUAAGCUUUUUGCAGUAAAAAGGAAAAAGGAAAAAAUCCAACUUAUUAGUAAACAAGAAUGAAAAGGGCACAGGAUCUUCUUACUUGAGCUUAAUUAACUUUAAAAAGGGGACAAAAGGAGUCUUAUUAAAGCAGAGGAAUUUACCAAUUUCAUCAUUCAAUUGUUUUCCUUUGAAGUGUCCUCGUACCCUAAAGAAAAAGUUUGUAACCACACGGCGAAGUUUUUCUAGAGAUAAUUCUGGAACUUCUUGGCCUGCAGCAUGAUAUAACAAACUAAAAUCAGUGAUAACCCCAUAAAAAUAACAAAGAAGGCCAAAAAAACAAAGGCUUGCCUUUUAGUUUGUUCAUCUUGCAUAAGGGAUUGAAAAAAGGAAAAGGAAAGAAAGAAAAUUAAUGCAAAGUCUUUUCCCAAAAGUGGUCCAUAUUCAGAAGAAAUAUUUGUUGAAAUAAUUUUCAAAACUUCAUACCAAACAAGGAAAUAAUGAAAGCUGAUAUUUUUCAUCUACUUGAUUUCUUUUCUUCAGUUUCUUCCUCAUUUUUCUCUCCAGGCAUGGUGCUAAGACUUGGGUCUUAGAAAGCAUACACCCAAAUGCCUGAAGACUUGGGUUUUUUUUUUCUUUUUUUUCUUUUUUUGUCACCAGAAUUAUCACUGGACGCCCUUUGCAUGCCCAAAUUAAACUUGAAAAAGUAAAACAAAUUAACAUUAGAAAUGAAGAUUUCAGAUAUACUCCUACUAACCAACAUUGGAUUGUGUUCCUGGAAACCAUUCUCCUCGUAGAUGCAGUCCAAGUCCAUUUACAGACAGCUCGGGGGGUAUGGGUUUACCCAGCUCAGGACCUACAAGUUAGGAAGAAUCGAAGAAAUCUUUUAAGUAUACAAAAGCAAGCAUGAACAUAAACUUUUAUGCAUAGAAAGAUUUUGACCUUUAUGGGUACGAAUCACAGCUGCAUGUAAAGCGGUCAUCCCUUUCGUGCCCUCACAGGAACAUUCAGAACUGUUUCCUUUCAACAGUUCGUCAGCAAUCUUGAAAAACCCCCUUUCCACAGCCAAAUACAAGGGGGACUCUUUAUGAUUAUUAACCAAAUCCAACAUCUUAGGAUUUUCUUGAACCAACCGGUUCACCACCUCAAGAUGACCAUUCCUCACAGCCACAUGCAGUGCCGUAUCAGCCCUCCCAUUCUUCAUUUCCAGUGCUUGCUUGGCAUUUUUACUUUCAAGAAAGCACUUAACCAUGUCACUACAGCCAGUUCUCGAGGCAAUAUGCAGCGGAGUGUCGCCUUUGAAGUCAGCUCUAGUCAGAAGCUCUGGAAACUUCUCAACAAGAGCUUCAGCAAAGCCUAUGCACUUGAAAUUAGCAGCAAUGUGAAGAGCAUUGCGUUUCUGGGAUGUGGCUUGGCAGGGAAUACUCUGGAGGCUAUGUGGCUUCUGCAAGUAGUUCUUAUCCCCAGUUUUAGCAGCUAUGUAAAGAUCAGUAUCCAUGUCUUGACAAUGGAAAUCAGAAUCCAUGGGGAUGCUUGCUAGGAAUCUCCUUCUUUGCAGUCUACAUAUAUAUUACUAAAAGAAUAGACCAGUCCACAUCAAAUGGGGUACAGAGCCUGCUCAAAAAUAAUUGCACCUCUCACCUACUGCAUUAACAAAGCUCAUAUCAUCACAAAAACUUUUUAGUACAUAUAAAUAAUUUUGUUUCAUAAAGUAUCAUUAUUAUUACUUCAAUAUAUAUUAGUUUUAUGAAGGGUUUAUGAUUGUAGACGAGUCAAAAUUCAUCCAUUUUUGUUUUGUUUAUCACCUAGUGUGGGCAUUUUGGCUCUUUUACGGUGUGGCCAUCGAUUCAAAUGCUUACACAAAGCUUCAAUGAAUUUUGUGGCACCUCCCGUGGAAACUUGCCACCAAAGCUCCCAAUUCAGAAAUGUUGUUUUUAAAAUAAUAACAGAAUUGAGUAAUUUUCUUUCUUUCUUAUCUCCAACGUUUUUGCUAAAUACUUUCACUUUUGGAGCUUGGUUUUAUAUCUGAUUUCGUAAGUCCUAAGAUAUCUACUACCAUGUACCUUGAAAGGUUGGUGUUGAAUCUAUUGAUUAAUUGUAUAUGUUAGGACAAUGAGUCUUCAUCAUAAGUUAGCAAUUUUGUUCCUUUUAAUUUUUGUCUUAGGAAUCUUUUUAAAUAGUGACUUACUUUCUAUUAAAAGAUUCAAGGUUAUUGUUCGAUCAACUGGAAAGUCAUAUGUAAAUCUAAAAAGGUUUAGUUUAUGGCAAAUUAGGUGUUUAAAAGGGUUAAGUGGAUUGGUAUAUUUUUUAUUGAAUUAAAAAUGUUUUAUUUAAUAUUUUGAAAAUGCAAGGGAUGCUCGAGUGGUGGAAAUAGUGCUCAAGCGUUGGGACCACUCAAACACUUAUCCAACACUUAAGUGAUCAAGGCACUCAAAUGGUAGGUAAGUGCGCUCGAGUGCUCAUCCCAAAUCUACGAAAAUAUGAUAGAAUAUUUUUGGAUAAUUCAUGCAAAUUGAGUUUGGAAACUUCACUAUACCAAUCCCCUAAAGCUUGGAGGCCUAUAUAAACCCAUCUAUAACCCUUUUAGUAUGAAGUGUAUUAAAACCAAAUGGAAGAAUAAGACAAUUAAGGAGAAAGAUUACAUGAAGAUAGGACCUUAUGCUUCAACAAUAAGUAGCCUUAUGUAUGUGAUGUUGUGUCUUAGAUUAGAUAUUUGUUUUACUGUAGGAAUGAUGAGUAGAUAAUAAUCCAAUCUAAGUAUAAAGCAUUGGACAACGGUCAAGUAUUAGAACCAUAAACAAAAAGCUAAAACCAUGAUCAUUGAUUCUAAUUUUCAUAUGAAAAUUUUAAAAAUUUUAAAAAUAUAACAAUAAAAUAAUAUCGCAGGAUAUUUUUAUUUAAUUUAUACAUGAUUAGAUUUAUAAAACAAAUAAAUAUUUUUUUAGUAUGAAUAUAUAAAAUCUUAUAUCCUAAACCUCUAAAAAAUUUUAUUAUAUAUUUAUUUUUAUAUUAAAUUUGUUCUCAUUAAUUAUUUAUUAUAUAUUAUUAUUUUUUAUUUAAAAUAUCCAUAAAUAAUUGAAAUCAAUAACUAUAAAAAGAUGAAAUGGUGACAAAUUUUGAAAUUAAAAAGAUUUCAUGAAGCCUAUACAAUAAUAUAAAAAAAACAUUGCACAGUGAAAAAAAAAUAAAAUUCAUAUGGUAUGGUUGAUUGUCACACGAUAAAGUUUUUAAAAAAUAAAAAUUGUUAUAGUUCAUGGUAGGUAGGAGGACAAAAGGGUAAUUUUAGAAUUUUGAUGAAUAUAACUAUUUAAGUGUAUAUUUAUAGGAUUAGUUUUUGUAAGCGAGAAGUCAAGUCAAACCUCUCAAAAAAAAUCUUUUUUUUUUAAGGUGCACAUGAUUAUAUGAUUCUUCCUAUUCAAGGCUGGGGGCCCAUGCUGAAAUGAUAUGUCAACAACCCUCCUUAAAGUAGAGUUGUAAAAGCUACUUCCCUUCUAUGUCUCCGGCCGAUAUUUCAGUCUAGCGUGGCGGCUUUUAACGCUUCAUCUACCUAUCUUCUUUUACGUUGAGCGUGGAAUCCACCGUCAUCUCUAGCCUCAGCAUAUGAUUUGAACUUAGGAGAUACCCACACUGACUUUUCAAGUUUUGUCCAGUUGAGGAAACUUUGAAAAUUAUUUAGCAGAAGACUGAUAAUGCAACCUUCUUCAUAAGAUGGGUGAUUUUUGAACACUACUGUACUCUAACCAAAUACCAUUUGUGCUUAUAUGUGAUACAGUGGAUGGAAUAUCUUUUCCCCUUUAUUACGCAAAUACUUGUUUAAUAGGUAGGGAAUUUUUUUAAAUUAGUCCCCCAUCCAUGCCCAUUAGAGGUUCUGAAAUUCAUUUGUAACAUUUAUGAUUUUUUGGAAAAUAAAAGUACCUACUCCAAUAAUACCAAUAUGAAUGGUACCACCAAACUUUCGUACGUAUCUAUAAAGAAGGAGAAGGUGCCCAAACAAUGUAUCCAGAAAAAAACAUUCAAGAAAAUAAUCCCAACUACUAGAUUUCAACAAGUAGGAUUUUGAGCAUAAAAGAAACAAAAUAAAAUAAAAAUAAUGACGGCUUCGAAUGACAUCACUGACCCAACGCAGGCAGAGGAGUUAGGAGUUGCGUGGAAAUUGUGAAAGGCGUAGAUCACGCCACAUGGAAGCAGUGGAGACAUGGCCAGUAGGAUAAUUAAUAUCCAUGUGGAUAACAGAGUGGAUCAAAACAAUGCCAUUCCCAUCAUGAAUGAACACUCAUUAACUUCUGCGUUUACUUGACUUUUGAGAGAUUUGCAAAACAUGUAGAGAGAGAUAUCACCGGAAGAGUUUUCUUCUCAUUAAUCAUGUUAUGACUUUUAGUAAUAAAAUAAGUAUGCAGCUGUUUAGAAAGAAAGAUCAGCAUGGGUAGUAGCAACGCGCAACAAAAAGUCCCAUCAGACUUCUCAUCCCUGGGAAUCUUACACACUCGCUAGGUAGACUAAUCAAACCAGGACCCAACUGGUACAAGCUACUGUUUCAACCACUCAAUAUUUAAGGAAUCACUUCCUAGUCACUAAGAACAUAAACUAAUCAAACCCAACCUGGCACAGGCUACCUUAUCGACUAGUCAGUACUCAAGGGAUCAUUUCCUAGUCACCAAGAUCGUUAAUUUAGAAAAUCUUACACUGAAAAAUGACCUAUUCAUCUGCAUGAGCAUAUGCCUUUCACAUCCCACUGAAUAUAAUCUUAACAUCUGUUUCAUUAGUAUGAUUCUCUUAAGCUAUUGACUUCAAUAUUUACUUGGAAAUGAUAUCAAAGGGAAAAAGAUUACCGAUUCAGAAAAAUGUAAAGCAAGGUACAAAAUACUAGAUGGAGAUAUUUCAAAGAAAGAAAUUCUUUUCCUAUAGCUAAACUAAUGCACACGAUCAAAUCUAACACUGACAUUUGUUCUUGGAGCCAGACAGAAAGCCAAGUACAGAUACAGAGUGUUUUCAAGAUGGGAUUAUUUGGUGUUUUUAACUAUUUGAGUUGAAUGAUGAAAACACAUGACUUCAACAAUGACAAACCAAAUUGGUUAGUAUCCUGCUUAAUAACCGUAGUUUGCUCCAUUCACCGGGCCAUAGCCUCCAGUGUGGCUUGCAUGUGCUGGGUUGGAUGCAGGAGAUGCAUACAUCGAACCAUGAGCUGCAUAAGAAUUAUAGCCUGGGUCAGCAGAUCCACCAGUUUGGGCCUGUGCUGGUGCAGCAGCUUCAGCCAUAAAAUUCUGCAACACAAACAAUCAUUACAAGCAGACAAGUCCAAUUUGAUUACAUAAUGAAGCAUUGACAAAGAAUAAACAAAAUUUUAAUGGAAAAAUCGACUUUUUUGGUUGAGUAAGAUCCCAAUAAAACAAUAAUUAAACAAUUCUAUAUUAUAAGUAAAAAUCAAUGAUGAAGCUAAAUGGAAAAGAAUGAAGUCCAACUGUCUGAAUUGCUGACCACACUUAACAUUUCAAUAAUAUAUAUCCUAUAAAAAAAAUUCUUUAAUUCUUUAAUUCUAGUAAUAAAGUCGGUCCCACCAUACCUACCCCCACACGCACCCAAACACCACAUACAAGGAGACAUCAGAAACAAUGAUCUAAUGCUAAGCAAUGUCAUUAUGCAAAUGGAAACUGCAAUAUUAGCAAAGACAAACCAACAACUUGGUAUCAAAAACAGGGAGGAAGAGUGCCUGUAUCAGUUGCUGAGCUGCUUGGACUUGGGAAGCAGUUCCAUUGAUUCACGUGGCUACAAAAGACUCUUUAGGAGAAAGUUGAGGAGUUCACAUGUGUAUAGGAAGAUUGAUUCACAAGGCCCUUGAAAAUUUUCUAUUUAAAGCUCUUGUAAGGAAAAUGGGAGACAUAUCUUCCUUCUCCAUCAUUCCUUCUUUUCUCAUUUCUUUUUUCUUGAUAUAAAGCUAAGGAUUCUCUCAUUUCUUUCUUCUUCAUUGUAAGUUACUUGAUUGAAGCCAAAAUAUGUGCUCCAAUGGCACAUAUAUGAUGUUAUAAUUUAUGUAAUAUAAAAAGUUCAAAUCAUCCAACUUAACUUAAUUUCAUGCUAUGGCCAUAGUUAUGGAUCUAACUUUUAUUUUGAGCCUAAUUCUAAGUUUAAGGGAUGACAUAAAUGGAUAAGUGCAAAAGUCAUUAUCAACCAAGAAAGUAGAAGGGGUUAAACUAUAACUAAGAGACUCAAGACUUAUGAACCAUGAAAGUCCAAGAAAGGGUGUAAGAAGCAAGCCAUAGGCAUGAAAUACCAAUAGUAGAUGUUAUGGAUUGAGAUAGCAACUUCCUCAUGAUCAAAGACUGGAAAGUUUUUUUAAAGAACUUAGAAUAAAAUGUUGUUUUUAGCUACCAAGGCACAUAUAUGACCAGAAAAUUCAAUUAAGGCAACAUAUUUCUUCUGUCUUUUUUUUUUUUUUUCUUUUUUUUCAAGUUUCACAUAUGUAAAGAGAAAUAAAGCAGUGGAACCAAUGCAUAAUCUAAAAUCAUCGAAUUUCGAUGCACAUACCUUUUUUAUUUUCUCCCAGAUCCAUAUUUGAUUGGACAAUGUCGAUAGCCUUCAAAUAUUUCUUGUUUGAUGCCUUCUUAUCCACUCUACGAUCUCCGAGCUUUGACCCAAAAUGCUACACUUUAAAAAAAAAAUCCAUAAAGUAAACCUAAUGUGAAAAUAAUGCCCAAUCUAGUGCAUUUGUGCCACAUAGAUUGCCACAUCAUAAAACCGUAAUUGGUAACUACGGUUUUAUUUUUUUAAAACAUUCAAAACUGUAGUCACCAACCACGGUCUUAACUUUUUUAAAGUUAAAACCGUGGUUGGUAACUACGACUUUGACUGUUUUUACAAAUAGUCAAAGUCGUAGUUACCAACUACGGUUUUAACUUUAAUUCUAAAACCGUAGUUGGUGACUACAACUUUGACUAUUUUAAAAACAGUCAAAGCCGUAGUCACCAACUACGGCUUCAACUUUAAUUUUAUAUAUAUAAAUAAUUAUAUUGCUUGAUUUAAAAUAUUUAACUUUAAUUUAUUUAAAUAAAAAUAUUAUAUUAUUUUGAUUUUAGAUUGACUAAAAAUAUGUGAGUGGUUUAAUAAAAAUAUUUAACUUUAAUUGAUCUCAUUAUUUAAAGAAUAAUAAUAUAUGAAAUUAAAUAAUUGAUGUCUUUAAUUUAAUAUAAAAAUAUUUUGGUUUAGUUUUAUUAAAAUAUUUGACACUAUACUCAAUAUAAAUAUAAUUAGUUAUAAAUAUACUAUUUUAUGCCCUCAUAAUGAAGAAUAUUAUAUUAUUUUGUAACUUUGUACAAAAAGUAAAGCCAAUUAUGCAUUUGUACAAAACAUAAUAUGACUUCAAGUGGGUAAAUAAUUGGAAAAUUACUUAAAUACAACAAAAAUAAUUUUAUUUUCUCCAAUUUUUUCCUUUCAAAAUGGGAUCAAAAUGGAAUGGAAAGGCUUAAAAUUUUAAACUUAAAAUGCCAACCUAAUAGAAUUUGUUUUUCCACUUCUUAAAAUAUAGAAUUGUAGAAAGAAAAUACCUAUGUUUUUCCAAUCAAUUCACCAUUUAGUUUAACUGUUUUGGUAAAUAAAUGAAAAUGCUUUUAGAACAUUUUUGUAAAUUCAUUGAGAAUAAGAAAAAUGUUCCUUAUUGGGUUUUAACGGGAGUUUUGGACAAAAAUGAUUUCUUCAAAACAAAAAAUUCAUAAAUUAAUUUUAUUCUCAAAAUAAUUUUCAAUGUGAUGUGUGUCUUAUUCAUGAGGGUAUUUACAUCAUAAAACUGUAAUUGGUAAUUAUGAUUUUUGAUUUUUUUUUAAAUAGUCAAAAUAGUAGUUGGUGAUCAUAGCUUUAAAUUUAAACCUAAAACCAAUUUUUUUAAGUUCAAAUUUUAAACCAUGCGAAUGUUCAAUUUUUUAAGAAUUAUUUUGAUUGGAGGUUAAGAUUGUAAAUUAGUUUUAAUGCAUUAUUUUUUCUAUAUUGAUAUAGUGUUGUUGUAACUAAUUAGUUACAAAAUUUUAGAUUGUAGAAUUGCUAUAUAUAUAUAAGUUCAAUUUAAGUUUAAAAUUGAUCAUAUUUUCAUUUAAAUAUAUAAUAAUUUGUUCAUAAUAAUAAUAAUAAAAAGUUAACAAUAUAAUGCAAAUGAAAAUAAACACAAAAACUAAAAACUAGUCCUCAAUGAGUGCCACAUGAUGGGGUGGGUCUUCCUCUUUCUUUGCGGACACCUAUGAUACACAGACAUCUUUGUGGAAUCUAACUGUGCAAUCUGCCAUGUCUUAGUAUGUAUAGGUUGAGAUGGAGCUGAUGGAGGCAAGACUCGACGUCUACGUGGACCACGAUGUCUCCUAGGUGGACAUACAUCUAACUAUGUAACAUGUGUAAGGGUAUGAUGCAUGGUAGUCUCUAUGGGAAGAGGUGUAGGUGAUGGUAAAGUGGUAGAUGGUGGGGUGAUCUCAGGUACAGUGAUAUCUGAUAUGGUAGCAUCUAAGAGAGGUGAUAUAGGAGAUGAAAGAAUGACAUCUACUAUAGUGGUAGCUGGUGCAAUAACAUCUGAUAUAGUAGGCUCGAGGAGAGAAAAUAUAAAUGAUGAUGGUGAGGUGACAUGUGGUGUAGUGGUCUCCUCGAGACAAGGUAGAGGUGAUGGUAGAUUAGUAGAUAGUGGGGUAGUCUCUGGUGUAGUGACAUCAGGUAUAGUGGCGUCUGUGGGAGGAAAUAUAGGUGAUGGUAGAGUGCUAUCUGAUACGACAUGCUCUAAGGGAGAAGGUCUAGGUGAAGGUGAUGGUAGGGGUGAAGGGGGAAGUGUGGAAACCUCAGGCGCAAAUGGGGUAGAUGAUGUAAAUGGUGCUAACAUGGUCUCGGGUGGAUGCAUAGAUCAUCGAGGUUGUCGACCAGUUCGCCCACCAUCUCUCCUACUAUCUCUCCCUCGGCCUCGAAUAGGCUACAUCCUAACUGUAGUGGCUAACACAGGUGGUCUCAUAGAUGGGUAUGAUGAUGUAGGCGACUGACGGGCAAAAUGUAUGCGAUGGUCCUCACCAAUAACAUGCAAAAUAUCAAUAGCAAUCCGAUGAAUGUCGCCUAAUGCACCUGAAGUAGGCUCAGCAGAUCGACUAGCAAUCUCAACCAUACCAGUGAUCUAUUAAAAAAAAAAAAAGUUAAACAAACGAAGAUGAUUUUUAAUUAAUUAAAAUUUAAUAAACCAUUUAUAAAUUAAAAAAAUCUUACCAACAACUGAGUAGUUGCUGCUGUACUAUGAUACCUCAUCUGAUCUCUAUAGAGAGGGGGUGUGAUCAAACGUCGUGUAAUACGUCGGUACCACUCCAUAUAUGGAUCAUGAAACUGCAUAGCACCCACCAUAGGUGGUGCCGUCACAAUACGCUCCGCACAACUAGCUCAUAAGGUAAUAUACUGUGCAUGAAAUGCCUCCCAAUCAUACUUAUGUCGUCCUCGCCUAUCCACGGAAUGGAGGUGUUGCUCUAUGGAACAAGAUGGAGGUAUCCCUUGUUGGAGGCCAAACUGUCGCAACACUCGCUCCAGUCGAUGCCACUCGACAAUGUCAAAGCAGAUAAGAGGUGUCAUCAUCCUCCAAAUCUCCUAGUCUGCUAGAGAUAUCGCUGGAAGAUGGGCAACUAAGUCUCCCAUGUAAGGCUCCCAUAAAACUUGUUAAAAUCAAUAUUUGAAAUUAAUAAAGUUAACGUUUAUAUGGUUAACAAUAGCACAUUAGAUCUUAUAUGUACCUGGUCAUGGGUCUGUGCAUCUAAUUGGUCUCGAUAAAAUGUCAACACACGUGAUGGGUUUUGAGCCCAUGAUAAAGGUACUUUCCACCUACAUCCUAACAGAUCAGCUAGUAAACCCUCGUGUAACAAUGCCUCAUCCUGUAAUCCCUGCUCUAAAUGCUCAGUUGGUAAAUCAUCAACUGCAUCAUGCUCUAAAUGCUGGGCUGCUGGAGGGGCUGGUGGUUGACCAAAAUCGAGUUGACCCAGGUGGAGUCUCUCCCAAGACCAUAACUGCAAAAAAAUGUAACAUUAAAAUUUUACUUAAAUUAAAAACUUGAAACAACUAGAAAUUUCAAUCUAAUGUGAAUAAUUAAUUAUACCUGUAAUAGUGUGACACAUCCAGCAAUAUCGGUGGCACCAUCCAAACUCACUCGACACAACUCCCUAUAUAGGUGUGCUAAUACUGCACUACCCCAACUAUACAUAGAUGUUUGAGUCAAGUCUCUAAGAAGUGGGAGAUAACACAUAUGUAUGUGAGUACCCUUCUUGUCUGUGAAUAGCGUUGAACCUAUGAGUCCUAAUAUGAAAGCCCAUGCAUAUUGCUCUAAUGUGGCAUCAUCUAAAUCAAUUGGUGGAUGAGAGAACUGGUGACAUAGUCAUCGUGUCGAUAUCGCUGAUCCUUUAAUCUCAGAUGUAAGGGGAGUCACCCCUAAAAGUUCAUAACAUAGCAAUGACCAAUCUAUAUCACAUGUGCCAGUGAUGGGAAGCCCAUGAAUACGAAGACCUAAUAUGACAGCAACAUCCUGUAAAGUAAUGGUCAUCUCCCCAACAGGUAAGUGAAAUGUGUGUGUCUCAGGACGCCAUCUCUCAACUAGACUAGUGAUCAAUCCGCAAUCUAGUGUAAUGUGUCUAAUACGAUAUACAUCAUAAAAUCCAGAUCGAAUAAUAUAAGGUCAAAGACGAGGAUCCAUCUUCCACUCCUGCAUAAACCUAGAUAUAUGUUGUUGACAAGUCAAGAUUGAAGCAAGCUGUAAAAAUACAAAUAAAUCAUUUAGAUAAUAAACUGCAAUUUUUUUCAUUCUUUAAAGAGAUAUUAUGUGUUUUCAUAUACAUACCUGACCAGAGUCAACUAAAUGAGACCUAUGUCUAUCAUGUAGAACCAAAAUAGACGUAUCUAAUGGAUCUGGAUCAGAACUAUGUCCUCUAUACUCCAUAUCUGUAACAAAAUUGUGAAGAUAAAUAAACAAUACUUAUUGUUUUUAAAUAAAAAAUAUUUUUAAUGGAAAAGUUUUAAAAAUUUAUGGAGUUUUCCAUAUAUUAAGUAUAUAUCAGUUUGAUAAAUUUAAGUAGAUCAAUUCAUUUAUGACCAAUAAACAAGUCAUACUAGUUUAAAAUAAAAUUAGAGAUACAAAUACAAUGAAGCAUUUUGUUAACAUUUUUAAUAGAAAAUUUCAAAAUUUUGACAGAGUUUCCCCUAUAGUAUGGAUAUUAUUCCAAAUACAAAUAACAUGAUUAGGCAAAUAACAUCAAUAUUUAUAAUCAAACCAAAGCCAAUAAUUGAAUAAAGGUAGUAUCAUAGUAGCUUACAUCACAAUAUCCAAGAAAAUUACAUGCACACAUCACAAGGUCUAAUCAACUCUAUUACUGUUUUGACAAGAAUGACGAUUGUGGCCACUUUGUUUGCAUAACCCACAUGUAAUAGAAGUCUUGCCCUCUCUAACAUCCAUUUCAUUAUGCAAACGACUUGAUUUAGGUCGUCCACUCGAUGCACGUUUCAUCGACUUAGAAGGCAUGAUAAUCGGGCCAUCAUAAGGAGGCCACUCAUAUACAUUGAAAAUGGGAUGGAACAAGGGUGCCCAAGUAUUAUAGUACGAUUGUGUACUGUAGUAGUGUUGAACAAGUGGUCUAAAAUCAACUGAACGAAAAUGACAUGCUGCUAGAAUAUGACUACAUGGGAAUCCAUAUAUGAGUGUUUUACCACACAUGCAUGCAUACUCCUGUAAGUUGACGCGAUAUGUUCGACCACGAGUUGAGCUACUCUUAGUACCCCUAUUACUCUUCACGUGGAAUUGUCCUUAGAUGUGAUCAUAUAAAAUAAUCUCAUAAGAUCCCACCUUAACCACAUUUGCCUUCAUCUUAGCAUCAACAUAUGGAGUGUAUUCCUCACUUGAAGCAAGUCGAUUAGCACCUUGUUCCCUUCUCACAACAAAGUAACUAUUUAGCCGAAAAAAUGUCAAUUGAACCAAAGCAGUUACGGGUAAGCUACGAGCCCCUUUAAGCACACUAUUGAACACCUCCGACAUGUUUGUAGUCAUGAUGUCGUACAUUCGACCUCCGUCAUGAGAGAGUGUCCAUUUCUCAAAAGGGAUUGCUUCCAACCAUUGUUGUGCGGCUGCAUUAAUCCUCCCAAUUGUGUUCAUAUGUUUAUUGAAUUUUUCAAUCUUGGUUGCUAAGGCUCCUCUGCACAUAAGAUUUUUCAAUAUUUUAUCCUUGAAUCGAGUCAUAAAAUUGCUAGCAAGAUGACGCAUACAAACCCUAUGAUAUGCGUAUGGCUCAGACCAACCAAGAUGAACAUCGCUCAUUGCAGCCAUAAUGCCUGGAUGUCGAUCUGAUAUAACACAAAGUUUCCUCCUAUUAGUGACUCUUGUUCUAAUACAUGCCAAAAACCAUCCCCAACUAUCAAUAUUCUCACCCUCUGUUAGGGCAAAAGCCAAUGGGAAUAACUGAUUAUUUCCAUCACAACCCAUAGCAAUCAUUAAAGUGCCUUUAUACUUCCCAUACAAAUGUGUACCAUCAAUACUGAGUACAGGCCGACAAUGCUUGAAUCCUUCAAUAGAUGGUUGAAAUGUCCAAAAAACUCGUUGAAAUAUUUCUGUAUUCUCCAUAAUACCAGGAAAUGUUUUUGAAAUUACAACACAUCCUGGAUUUGCCUGCUCUAAGGCAAUGAAAAAAUGGGGCAGCUCUGCAUAUGACUUAUAAAAAUCACCAAAUAAGUUUGUAAGAGCUUUAAGCUUUGCUUUAGAUGCAUUCUUGUAUGACAUUUGGUAUCCGAAUUUCUCCACAAUACUUGCUUGAAUAGCAGCCACUGAUAAUGUGAAUUGUGCCUUAAUCAUUCCUUGGAUAUGAGCAGCAAUCAAGUUGGAAUCUAAUUGUUGAUGAUCCCGAUUCAAGCAAGGAUUUACACAUUUGUGGGGACCAUUGUGUUUAUUGAUUGCAAAUGAAGUUGUACCUUUUACAACCAUAGCAUGAAGUUUCCAUGGACAUUGCGAUUGCUCAGCCUUCUUGCAUCUUAGGACCAACAACUUUGUAGUUGACGAAACAACAACGUACUCUUGGUGUUGACUUAAAGAGUACAACUUCGCAGCAUGUUGUAAAUCUGCUUUUGAAUUAAAAACUUGGCCAACCAUGAACUCUCCACCUGAGUUUCCAAUAUUAGUGUUCCCUCAUGGGGUCCAGUCACUUGAAACGGCGUUACCAAUGUUUUCUACAUUUUCAAACUGCAAUGAUGGUGCCGAGUGAUACUGAACAGGGGAAUACUCUAUUGGAUCAUCAGGAUCUGGGUUAUUUGACAUAUCACAACAUUCCCCAUCCACGGAGACAUAUCUCCCUUGUUCACUUUCCAUUGCUUCGUAAAGAGCUAAGAAAGAUGAAACAACAUUAACAUUAUUGUUUUCCUCAUCAAUAAAUUCAAACACCCCAUCGCCAUCAUGUUGAACAUCUUCUGCUCUCUCACUUUGAUCAUCACCUUCUUGGGAUUCACAUUCUUCUUCAUUUUCAUUUGCUCUACACUCAUAAGUCAUUGCAACUGGGGCACUACUAGGUCCACAACCAUACUCAAAUUCCUCAACAUUAUCAUUUUGUCCGAGUAAUAAUUGUGUGAAGUUACCCAAAAAUUGCCCCCUCUCCCGUGGUUGUAUUGGCACUUGUUCAAUAUACAAUUCAAUUUCGUCCAUUCCAAAUGUGUUAACCAAUUUCAACAUUUGAGAUAAACUAUUAUCAUCCCAUAUUGGACAAGGUUGAAACCUAUUUUCCCUUUUUAAAGGAUAUCUACAGUUGAGGACUAAUUGAAAUUGUUUUUUGUCAAUGCCAGUUCUCGAGUAUAUCCUAGAUAACAAGUGUUCAUAGGUUGAACUAACAGGCACAUCCAAAGGCACAAUUACAACUAGAUCCCCAAUAUACUUUACAUCUGUUUCUGUCCUCAACAUUUUUCCUUUACAAAAGCAAAUCACAAGAACAAUAGAUUCAGACAUGAUUUACCUACAAAAAAUACAAUAUCAAAUGGUUUAAUAAUCAAUGAAAAUAAUAGCAAGAGAAAUUGCAUAUAAUAUUUUAACAUGUGAAUACACAAUUAUAUAAUAAAACACAUUUUUACACAUUAGGAGGAAAAAUAUAAAUCACUUCAUAAUAAUAAUUUUUUUAUUUAAAUAGUUAUCUAUGAUACAAAUAUAAUCAUAGAUAAAUGUUUUAUAGAAUUUUAAUUUAAAACUUAGGUAGUGGGCUAUAAAUCAAUAAAUGUUGAGUUAAAAAAUUACAAUAAUCUUAAAAUUAAAUAAAAAAUAAUCCAUCAAAAAAAAAUUUUAUUAUAAAAUAUCAUAUAUUAAAAUAAAAUUGAACGUUAUGAACUAUUAAAUAAUACAUAAUUUAAAUAAUUAUGUUAUUAUUCAUGAAUCAAUUGAUAUUUGAUUAAAGCUAAAAGUCGAAAAAAAAAUCAAAAUCAAAAUCAAAUGAAAGUAACUGACAAAAAAAAAUAUAUUAAUAAAAUAUCAAUUACACAAUUAUAAAAAUUUGAUAUAUGUGUUUAUUCUGUUUUUGGAAAGCUAGGUCCCUUCUUUUGACUAGUUUCAUUGAUCAGGAGCUGUCUAGAUGAGAAAUUGUGUGUGAAGAUGAAUCAAAAACCUAGGAUAAAUCAACAAUUUCAUAUGAAUUACCAAAUUGCAGAUCUAAAACAGGGGACAACAUGGGAUAUGGGAAGCAUGACCUCAAAAAGAUAGUAGAACCAAGGAUGAGACAUCAGUUUUCAUGGAUAUAUCGGUAGUUGGAUUUUACGAAUAUACUAGGAUAUAUCGGGAAAUAUCAAUGGAAAUUUUGACAAAUAAAUCGAUGGAAGAAAUUUUGAGGAAAAAAAAAAAGAAAAAACAAGAAAUAAUAUGCAUAUUCAAGUUAUUACUUUUAAAUUAUAUAUAUAUAUAUAUAUAUAUAUAUAUAUAUAUAUAUAUUAUUUCUAAUAUUCGAUAAUAAAUUAAUAAUAUAUAGAACUUGAAAGCACAUUUUACAUUGAUAUAUCUAAAAGAUACAAAAGAAAUGAUGAUAUAUGUAUGAUUUUUAAAAUAUUUGAAAUUUUUUUUUCUAUUAAGUUUAAUUAAUAAAAAAAUAUGAACAAAGACUCAUUAAAAAAUUUAUGAUAAUCAUUUUUAUAUUUUUUAUACUUAAAUCAAAUUUGGAAAUAAGAUAAUUAAAAUUAAAUUAUUUAUUAGAUGUUUAUUUUAAUAUCUUAUGUAUGAUAAAAAUGUAUUAAAAAUAUAUUUGUCUCCAAAAUUCCUUUAUUUUUUUUAUUAAAAUGAGAAAAAUAAAAAUUUGUGUGUGUGUAUAUAUAUAUUUAUUAACAAUUGUAAAAAAAAAAAUCACAUUAGUCCCACUGGUCAUGAACUCUUUUGCCAUGUAUAAGAACAAGGGGGUUUGAGUUUUUAAUAUGGUUUUCCCAAAAUUUAAAUUAUUUAUGUUGUCUACCAUAUGAAGUAACAACCAUCUGGAGUGGCAACAAAAAGGUCAAGAUCAGAUUCUGAUGGCUAGGAUAAAGGCCUUGAACCCACCUUAAUAAUAGCAACCAUUACUUUGUUUUCGUGUACACUCUUUCCUCUCUAAAUACAAGGCAAAAAAAAAAAAUUGUUUAAAUGAAGGGCUCUCAUUUUUUCUUCUUCAAAAUUGGCAACUUCCAUACAUAUCAAGAAGAUAACUAUUAGGCAAAUACUAAGUGGAAGGAAAUUAACAAAAGUUGAACUGUUACAAACUUAUACUAGAGGCCUUCUACUCCAAGUGUACUAAGCCUUUCAUUGUACCAUGUAUAUUGUGAAAAGAUCAUAAGCUUAAAGCUACUAUACUUUUUCUCUUUUUCACAUUAAUUACUUUUCUGCAUGGAAAAUGAAAGCAAAAGAGAAAAACAUGUCCCUUGACACUUUCCAUACCAAACAAUCCAUGGUCAGCGUUUUUGUCUAUUUUACUUGUAACUUUUAUGCACUGCACCUCAUUUACCAUUUUUGUAUUUCUCAAAAACUAGCUAGCUAGGUUCUGUUUGACAGCCUUUAAUUGGUAGGAAUAAACUUCUUUUUGAGAACCCAAAUAUAGAAGUUUUUUUUUUUUGCUCGAGAUACUGUACACUUAAGAAAUAGUACAAAAUUUUCCAACUUAUUCUCAUUAUUUUUAGAUUAUUUUUCAAAACACUCUACAAAAAAAAUAUGUGAAAAAUCCUUAAACUUAUUCAAACAAACCACUCUAUGUUUAGAAUAAAUUUUCAAAAGCUAUUUCCAGUCUACAACUUACCAAACAUUGAAAAACCAUUGUUUGUUCUAAAAACAAAACUUUUUUAGAAAAUAGGCCCCCUAAAGGAUCCACAAGAUGAAUAGGGCAAAGAUCAAGGAGAUCAAUAAAAAAUGAUCAGACAGUGAGAUCUAUUAACAUAGUGCUCAAUCUAAACAACCUUGUUCACAAAAAAAAAUAAAAAUAAAUAAAAAAAUAGGUCUAGUUUUUUCAUGAGUUUUACAGUGGUAUGUAUUCAAAUUUCCAUGGAAUGUUUUUGACAAUGAGAAACGUAAGAUUGAACCCACAAGAAGAGAGAAAAACCAAGCUUUGAAGCUUACCUAUCCACAAAUACAGGAGAGCAACCUCAGAAGAAGAAGAAGAAGAAGAAGAAGAAUAUGCUUGUACUAAAGCUUUUGAUUAAGGUUUAAUUUGGAAGAGAAUGGCAAAGAGAUUCUUGAGGUAAACCAAAACAGUAGCAGGAGAAGGAGAAGAAGAAGAAGAAGUAGAAAGAAUAACUAAAAAGGAAGUUGAUCAUGAGCCCUGCCCUUCAUUCAAUUCAUCUGUUUCCCAUGAAAAUAUAUAUGAUGUAAGUCCGAAUAUUGGCUAAAAAUCCAGAAACACAGAUAAUAAAUUUAAAAAUUAUUUUUUACAUUGGGGGUUUCAAGUAAAAUUUUGAAAAUAACUGACAGAUAGUUUAAAAAAUUAUCCUCAAAAAUUGUUUUUUAUAACAAUUUUUAAAAACAGUAUUAGACAAGUUCUAAUAAUUUCUUACUGAGUGGGAGAAUGAGAGAAAAUACAAAUAAAAUAAUUAAAAAUCUUAUAUAUACCAACUGAUGAAGGAUUGAAUGUUCUAGUUUUCAACUUUUCAUUAGUUCAAUAAAAUUACAAUAAAAGGAAUGAGAAUUUCUGCAGAUGCAAAGAAGAGAAUAGAUUUAACAAUAAAAAAUCAUUAAAUUAUGUUUAAUCAGAAUCUCACAGGAAGUUGAAUGGAAAAAAAAUCAAGUAUCACCAAACUAAAGAACUAUAUAAACAAAUCUCAAGGUUCCAGGAAGUGGAGAACUAAACAACAAAACAUUUUGCAUAUAUUUUGAGAAUGGGUUUAAGAUUCUUGUUCAGAUAUUUGAAGAUAUACCAUCUGAGUGGUCCCCUCACUCUUGGUAACAAAUAUUUGAAGAUAUUUUCUAUUUCUAUAACAAAAAUCAUCGGAGUUUUUUUUAUAGUGGUUCCCUCCAUUUUUGGUAUCUUUAACAAAAAGAAAUCCAUACUGGUCCCCCAUUCCAUAUCCGUUUUCUUUACCAAAAAAACCAUUUUCUUUCUGCUAAGCUCAAAAUCAAAAUAAAAUCAAACAUGUCUUUACCAAACAGAAACCAAACAAAUCUGUAACAACAAACCAAACAAAUUUACAAAAAAAAUAAAAUAAAAUUUACGAUUAACUGAAAAAUUCAUAAAUCUUACCUGACAACGACUUCCAAAAUUUGAAUUUGAACCAAGGAUGCAAAGGGAAGGAUGAAACCCUAAAGGGAAGAACGAAACCUUAAAGGGAAGAACAAAAGCCUAAAGGGAAGAAAGCCAAUCGGGGAAAUGGAGAAACCUAAUGGGAAAGGGACGAAAAAGGAAUUCAAAACUGUAGUUACCAACUACGGUUUUGACCAAUUUAAAAAAAUUCAAAACCGUAGUUACCAACUACGGUUUUAUGAUGUGGCAUUCCACAUGGCCCAAACGCACUAGAUUGGGCAUUAUUUUCAUAUUCGGUUUAGUUUAUGCAUUUUUUUUUAAAUGCGGCAUUUUGGGUCAAAGCUCACGAUCUCCGGCCAAAAUCCGGAUGCUGUUGUACUAUCCGUACAUAGCAGCUAGAUGCAAAGUCGUGUUGCCUUGAUUAUCUAACUCAUUUAUUAGGCUUUCCCAUCUUGGUUCUUUUAGAGUAUACUUCAUCACUAUAGACUUCCCACAUUGGGCUGCAACGUGAAGAAUGGUCCAACCUUUAUUGUCAACCAAAUUAUUAGCACAUGGACAGCGUUUGAUGAUCUCUGCCAUCAUAUCAGGGUAGCCUUUUUUAGCUGCUAUGUGAAGAGCAGAACUAUCUUCUUUAUCCCACAAGUAAGCAACUGAUUUAUCACAUUCCAGCAAUUUCCUAGUCGCUUCAAGAUGUCCCAAUUGUGCAGCAUAAUGAAGGGGAGUCCACAUAAAUAUGUCUGUUUCUGUGACCAUAUCUUUCUUUUUGUCCAGUAGUAUUGCAAUAAUGUCAUCUAGCAAUUUAGACCAAGAAAAAGAAAUAUAAUUAAAACAGACUUUUUCAUCCAGAGUACUUUUAGAAAAUAUAUUACGUUCUUUUUAUUUUAAUAUCAGAUAACGGCUCAGGAUUACUUCCCCAUGAGAAGGAUCAGGCAUUAUGCAAUGAAUUUUCCCAUCAAUUAUAAAGAGGGUAGCUACUAGCCAGUGUGGCAUAUAUUGUAAAAGUAAUUGUGUGAUUUUCUUUCCCUGGUCUUACUACUUUUCUAGUUUAGUUAAGCUCUCCACCUAUCAAUUAGAAAAGCAGAAGUAAAGGUUUGGGCUUGGGUAAGUAUUCUUCAAAAAUAAUUCUAAAAAAUAAUUUAUAAGAACUAUUGAAAACCAUUUUCUGAUGAUAUUUUAUAAAACAAAAGUUCUAAUGGCUGUAUUAUUAUGCUUGGUUGGAACUAAUGAAUACAAUUCUGAUGACUAUCUGUCAUAAGUAUAGGAAGGCCAUGCACUCCAUGUAGAUUUGUUCGGCGUCUGUCAGGAAUCAAGAAUCAGUUAAUGGGGCUCCGAAUGUUCUACUAGCCUUGCCAAAAAGUACUUCAUGAGGCUAAACUCAUCCACACUAAAGUGGUGUUUUUUUUUUUUUUUACUUAAUUCUAAAUAGAAGUUUAAUGCUUAAUAGCGUUAAGUAUUAAGUUAUUUAUUUUUAUAAUACUUUAUUUCUAUUAAGCAUUAAAAAGUAAAAAAAAAAAAAAAAAUCAACAUAUCACUUUUUCUAUUCAAUAAAAAGUUUAUAAUAAAUCAUGAAAAAAUAAAAAAACAAAUGAUCUAAAGUUUGAAAGCAAAUUGCUUUUAGCAAAAAACUAAAAAAAACGCUCUCUAAGUCUAUAGAUUUAUGUGUUCUUGGCUUUGUAUAUCUUAGACAUGUUGGAUAAUGGUGUAACAAAGAUUUCUCCAUUUUUUUCUUAUGCAUUUUCUUCUACAAUAUUUUUCAAGCAUCCCGUUGUAGGGAUAUUUACACAUAGUGCAAUUUUGCUUUAUUUUUGUUGGCAACUUCUUCUCUCUGUUGUAUUAUUCCAAGUACCUUAUGUUACGUCUGACUCUAAAAAAUUAUUAAAUGAAGGAAAAAUAUCAAGAAACUUAUUAUUAUUAUUAUUAUUAUUAUUAUGUUUAGUUUAUCAAAAAUUAUUAAAGGAAGGCAAAAAUUGUUAAAAAAAAUAAUUUUUAUUAUAAAAAAAUUAGAAAAAUAAAUACAAUUAAAAUAGGUUAAAAAAAUUAUAUAUGUCCAAAUUAUUUUACAGUUGUGUAAAAAGGAAGAAAAAAAAAAUGAGAAAAAUGAAUUUGAAAAAAUAUUAUUAAUAAUUUUUUAACUUUCAAUUAAUUUUUCAUCUUCCUUUAUUUUUGUUUAUGUUUUCCUUGUCUAGUAUAUUCCUUCAAAAUUUCUAAGAAUCAAACAUGUGGGUUGCGGACUGGUUCGCUGGCCUGCUGGCCUGCUUGCCCGCUUGCCUGGUCCAAGCAUGAAGUUGGGUUGACCUCUAAUGGUCCCUUGGUGGACCAACCCACCAACCUAACCAAACGAAGGUUGCUACCUUGGAUCAAGUGUCUGGGAUUUGAGUAAUAUCUUCUCCUGGGUUAUUAAAUUUUUAUUAGUUUUCAACGGUUUUCUAUUUGUAAUGAUUAAAUUUUUAUUGUAAAAAUGGCUCAUAAAAACAUUGAUUAUCCUAUAACAAUGUUCCAGAAGCAAGAGAUUAUUUACCAUAGCUUUGAACCGCUAAUUUUGAAUAUUGAAAUAAGUGGAAAUAGAAAUAAAUACUAUUAUUAUGUUUAACUUUAUGAAAAUUGUUGUAAAUGAAGUGGUGAAUGACCACAUUGAUGGUCAUUUAUGAACUCCAUUCACUACUACAAAAAUAGUUUAUGGUGUCACUAUUUACGGUGUCACUUUUAAAAUAAUGACACCAUAGGAUUUAUAAUUAAUAAAGGUGACACAUCAUAUAAAAAAUCUUCAAUUGAGGUAGUUAGAUGAUAUUAAUUUUAUAUUUAUAGUGUCAUUUUUUGGGAAGUGACAUCAUAUAAAAUAAUUUUUUUAAGUAUUAUAACCCAUUUUUAGAAUUAAUAAUGAUGGAUACUAUAUAAAAAUCCCAUUGUUUCCAUAUCUCACCCACAAUCCAAAAAAUCUCAAUAUAUAAAUCCUAUAUAUAAAAUCGUGAUCUUCUUCAACCUUUUCUCUCACCCAUAGUCAACAUGCUCACAACCGACAUUCUUCACUUUGUGGACUCCCAAGUAACCCAAAAUCUCUUGGAUCUAUCAUUUUUUUUUUCUUUUAUUAAUGUCAUUAUAUUAAUUGUUUCAACAUCUUUGUAUUAUGAUUUUUGUGAAUUGUGUAUUCUUGAGUUGUAGGGAAGAAAAAUUUAGGUUUAAUCUUCUAGCGUAGAAGAAAAAACUGUAGAUUAAUUGAUUUUUUAAUCUAAACCAAACACAUGAUCAAAUCCUUAAAAAAAGUGAAAAACAGAAAAAAAAAAUGAAUGAUUUUUAAUAUCUAUUUGUGUGAGAAUGACAGGCACAGAAUUUUUUUGAGAUAUACUAUCACAUAAUCUUCAUCCUUUCUAAAAAACGAGAGAGGAAAAAAAAUGAUUUUUCUGUUUGUAUCUAAGUGGGAAUGAGAUAUAGAAUUUCGUUGAGAGUAUCCAACCCCAAAAGGACCAAUUCGGGAAGGCAUGUGUGGUAUUGGCGGAAGAUGAUAAGAUGGAAAUCAUAACCAUAGCCAUGUUCGAUCUCUCUAUGUCUUUCUAUCCUCUUCAAUUAAUUCAUGGGCAUAGAUAUUUUAUUUAGUUUUUAUAUUUAGUUUAUUUAGUUUCUAAAAUCCAAUUAGCUAGAUUUUUUAUUUGAUUUUAUUUUUAUAUUUAAGUAGUUGAGUUUUGGAAAGUUUUUAUAUUUUGUUAAUAGAAAUAGAAAUUUUUAUAUUUUUUAUUAUUAGGAAUUUCUAUUUUGUUAAAUUGUAAGUAUCUAUCUCAAUAAGAGAUUAUUAAUAUUCAAAUGAAAGUGAUGAAAGAGAGUAAAUAUUUUAAUGCUCAAUUAUAUUUUAAUGUUUUUUUUUUUUACAUAAGGGUUUAUUUAUGUUUUCAAUUUUGAAGUUCCCUUUCCAAGUCCAUCAACAAAAGUAGUGUCCAACCUUAAAAUGGGCAUGUGUGGUAUUGACGGGAGAUGAUAAGAUGGAAAUCAUAACCAUAGCCAUGUUCUCUCUGUGUCUUUCUAUCCCCUUCAAUUAAUUCAUGGGCAUAGAUAUUUUAUUUAGUUUUUAUAUUUAGUUUAUUUAUAGUUUAUUUAGUUUCUAAAAUCCAAUUAGCUAGAUAUUUUAUUUGAUUUUGUUUUUAUAUUUAAGUAGUUGAGUUUUGGAAAGUUUUUAUAUUUUGUUAAUAAAAAUAGAUAUGAGGACUUAAAAGGGUUUAUAUUUAGGUAGUGCUUGAGCCAAGGAAAAUGAUAGUCCACUAUCUUGACCCUAUGCAUCACAAACCAUGUGAGGACUUAAAGGAUAUCGUAAACAUGUAAGUUCUUCCUAUUAUUUUUCAUAGUAUUAUUUUUAAAUAAAAAAAAUACAUUCACCUCAAACACAUUUUUUUAUUAUUUAUAUAUAUUAAAACAUAUAACAUUUACCUAUUUUUAAAAUGUACCCAUUGAACUUAUUUACAUAGGACUCUUCGAAUAUCUGCAAAGAAAACAUCUAAGAGGGAGUCAUCUUAGAAACUAGUGCAAGUGACAUCCAAAAAAUUUUCUUUACACAUUAGCUUAUGCAUUUGCACCAUUUAUAUAUGUGAGUACUAAUGUUAUUUUAUAAUUGAUCGAUUAGUGUCCAAGACAAGGAGGGUUCGAAUGUGGCUACUUUGUUAUGAGAUUCAUUAAAGAGAUAAUUUUUUAUCCUACAAUUAUUGCUUCAAAGGUAUUACUUAUUAAAUGAAUUGUACAUAGUUUUAGGCUUCCAAAUGUUAUGCAUUUUAAUGUUAUUUUCUUAUUUGAUUUCAGUUUUGUGAUAAAAAAAAACAUAUUCUCAAGUAGAAUUAUAUUUCCAUUUAUUCAUUAGAAGAAGCACCCUUCGAUGAAAUUAGAGGAGAAUGGGCUACUUUUGUGCUACAACUAAUCAUGAAUCAUGUUAAUGCAUCAUGAUCACCAUGCAUGGUGAGUCCCUUAGCUACUACAUGAAUUUUUCCAUAGGUAUUGUAUAGUAAUGCUUAUUCUUUGAAUAAUGUUUCUAUUUGAAAAAAAAAAUAGUUCUUAGAUUUGUUCAUUUAUGAUAACAUCGAUCCAUGUUUAUUUUCUUCAAUAAAAAUCUCUAAAACUCAUUAAAUUUUGAAAUGCAGGUAUACACUCUUGGGAUGGUGAAAUGGAGAAUAAAAAGAAAGAAGAAGGCAACAAGAUUUUGGGUUUUUAAAUGCAACUCUUAUGUUAUACGUUGUAGGACAUAAACGUUACUUUAAUUGCAACUGAGAAAUUUAGAUUUUUAGAUGGGACUUUUAUGUCAUUUUAUGGUUAGCCGGUUUUAUGCUUAGGAAAUGGAGGUAUACAUGAAUCUUGGGAUCUUUAACAUUUCUAAAUCAUGUUUUGGUAUGUAUUCACUCUUCUUUUUUAGUUUUGAUGGGUUUGAUAUGUUGGACGUACUAUCCUUUUGUGAACAUUUGAUAUACAAAUAUUAUUAGAUGAUCAAUGUAUUAUGAGUUAUUCUAGAAACAUUACAGAAAAAUGAGUUAAAUAUAAUAUGAUUGUUAUAUUUAUGGACAAAAUAUAAAUAGGUUAAUCUUAUUAAUUCAUAAGCAUUACAAAAAUCAACAACUAAAACCAAUCAUAUCUUCCACAAUAAUUUACAAUGAUGUGAUACCAUAACUUAAAGGUGAUGCAUUUAAUGUGACAUCAUAACUCAAAGAUGAUGUAUUUAAUGUGACACCCUAUCAUCACUAGAAAUAUAUGGUGUCACUUCCAAAUGGGUCACCAUUUAUCUACUUUGGUGUCACUUCCAAAUAUGUCACCAAUUGGUACCCUCUAUGGUGUCAGUGGAGAAAGUGACGCUAUGUUGUAGUGACACCCUAUGUUUAUGGUGACUCGUUAUAAAUGUCACCAUAUACCUUUUUCCUUGUAGUGAUUUACUCAUCUUUAAGAUGAGUAAUGGGAGUUCAUAUUAUGAAGCCUAUAAAAGGCUUUUUACAAAAAAAAUAAAAUUCUCUUCCUCUCAUUCUCUCUCUCUUUCUUUCAUUCUCUCAAUUUUCUCAACUCUCUUCUCUGAUUCCUUCUUCCCAUUAUAUAUAUUGUUAAAGUAAGAUAUAUUUUAUCUCUACUACUUUAUUUGUGUUGCAUUUAUCCUUGUUUUACAACAAAAAUUAUAUUUUAGAAUAAUUUUUAUAAAAAUUAUGGUGAAUAUUUGAAGGCACCCAAAGCAUAUUAACUUGUACUUAAUAAAGAUAAGGCCAUAUUGAAUGUUUUGAUAUUGGUUUAUGAAACUACUUAGAGGAGAGUGAAUAGGCGGUCCUCUGCUUACAACACUCAAAUUGAAGUUUUAAAUAUUUUUAUUAACUCUUAAUUUAAUCAAUAUAUGUAAUUAAUAAAUAGAGCAAAGAAUAAUCUUACACUUGACAUGUGAUGUACAUGGAAAAUCAUCUACAGAAUCUAUAAAAAAAACUUGACGAUGAAAAAUUCAUGAGUCAAUUGAUCAUAGAGCAAAUUCACUAAUUUUGAUAGAAUAAAUACAUAAUCUUACCUAGAUGAAAUACUACCUUCCUUCAAGCAUCUUACACAGGUCAGUACUUACACUUGCUUUCAUGUUCAUAAUGCAAAACCCAUGUAUUCCUUAGUGAAUACCUUAAAACUUUAAGAGAUGUGAUCAACCACCAUGAACAACUUCAAACAAGAUAUGAGCUUUUGGAGUAUCAGGAAUAUGCAAAAGAUAAUAACAAUAAAUUGUAGGGUACGAUGAUGUAUGAAAGUACAAAGUUGAGCAAUGUAUGAUGGCAAAAAACUAACUAAAAAAGAUUUGAAAAGCUGACAAAUAUAGGAUAUUUAUGCAUAACAUCAAGACCGCUUAAGCCCAUUUUGUGGGCACUCGAGCGCUCCUUGUUAAUUUUAGCUUUUCUAAUUUAGCUUCAAGCCCAUUUUGAAUCUAAGUCCACUUUACACCUUAUUCAUGUCAUUAUAUUGUGAACAAGAUAACCCUACUUACCUGAACAAUCAUGUGAAUGAAUAAAAAAUGAUCACAUAUCUUCAAGGCCAGUGCAUACAUAGAGUUGAGUAAAAAAAAUAUUUGGAAUAAAAUUGUUAACUUAAACUAAUUAGUCUAGAUCACUAACACAAAUAAUAUCAAAUUUAGUUAAAAUACAAAUACACCUUCCCAUGAGCAACAUUAUUAUGUUUUACCUUCUUCAUCUUUUACAAGUUUUUAGUUAUAGAAAUAAUGAGAUUAAAAAAUUGAAGGGUAAAUUGCUCCGAUGACUAACUUGAGUGCCUUGGGGCAAUUUUUCUUUGCUUUACAUAUCUCAUAUACCUUAUUAUUGGGAGAUUAUUAAAGAUCGAAUCACAAUAGGACCAAUCCUAAAAUAAAUUCCCCAAAAUCAUUGAUAUUUGAGGCUAUGUAAUUUUUUUGCUCCAACAAGUUCAAUAUUUUGAAUAAGUUUAUCAUACAUGCAUGGAUGUACUUCAUUCUACUACUUGACUAGGGUAGCAAUCAAAAUAGAAGCAAACCUAAAAUCAAUGCUCCAAUAACGUUAAUGUUUGGAGCUUCAUAAUUUUUUUGCUCUAAUAAUUUUGAUAUUUUAGACAAAAUUAUUUUACAUUGAUCGACUUGCUUCUUUAUGUUUAAGUAAAGGGAGAGUUUUUCUUGCCUAAAUCUUGACACUUAAAGAUACUAAUAUUUAUGUUUUGAACAUGAGAUAAGGGACAAAUCACUAUCUUUAACUUGAAUUUAUGUUAAUGCAUGCUUUGAGAACUAAUACGCCAUCUUUCUUUUUUUUUUUAGUAUAAAAGCAUAAAAAGGGAGGAAAUGUAAGCAACUUGAUGUAAUUCUAGCAUUUGGGAUGGAAUGGAGGAGCAAAUAGGCAGCAAGAUGAGCCCUAGUGCUUGCUAAAGUAAAUAAAUAAAUAAUAAAAGCGAAAAGGCAAAAGAAAACUACAAAGGCAUUCUAAAUUGGUUUAGGAGUAGCUAAAAGUGAUUUGGAGAAGCCAAAAUCGAUUUCAAAAGGUUAUUUAAUCAAUGUUAAAACCAAUUUGUGAAUGAGAAUUUUCAUAUUAAUGGAGUCUCACAUCAUAAAAGCGAUUUAAAGGAGGUUGAAAUCGAAAUUCCAAUCUUAGGUUAAAAGUUAAAAUUGGUUUCCAUAUUGAAAUUUUGAUUUUAUCUUGUUGAAAUCAGUUUUUCCAAAAUUUACAGCAUAUGCCAAAUCAAAAUUUCACACUUUGGUUAAUUUGGUAUCAAAAUCUAGAUUUUAGGCAAUUUUGAUGUAAUUUCAACUAAUUAAGUUAUACGUUUGCUAUGGUGGCCAAUGAGAUUAGGCCAAGUGCCUUUUUAGGGUUAAGAUAUUUAUAUUUUCAUUUUUUUUUCAAGGUUACAAAGAGAACAUUUUUACAAUUUUGUUUGUAGUCACACUUUCUAGACUUUUGUUUCUUUCUUUUUAUUAAUAUUCUUUUUUUUUUCUUAUGGAAUUUGGGUGUGAAAUCUCAAUAUAAGAGAUUAAGAUCUUUAAUUUUGGAGAUGUAGCAUGAAGAUACAUGGAAGAUUUGGACAAGGAGCAUAAGAAAAGUAAUGUCAAAUUAAUUGAUCAUUAGGUUUUCAUUUUUACCUUAUUAGAAUGAGAUCAUCUAUGAAAUUAUGGUUAGACUAAGAUCCUAGUGAUACUUCUAAAACCAUUUGAUCACUAGUUAACAUAAUUUGAUAUACUAUCAUGAUUGAAUUGAAAAUUGAUUGUACAAGAUAGAUGAGUGGUACGAAUGUAUAAACAUAAACCUCAAUUAACCAAUCUAUAUUAUUUAUUUUAGUGAAUCAUGUAAAAAGAGUAUAAAUGUCUUAAAAUUCAAUUUGAUCCCAUAUUGACUUUGGUCUUAAACCCUAGAUCUAUGAUUUACUCUCUCUCUCUCUCUCUCUCCUUCUCUUCUUAUGAAUUUGAAGCUAAAUUUUGAAAGCUCCAGAGUUGUUAUCAUAGAUUUGUCUUAAUCAAUUUAAUCUAAAUUCGGUCUUUUUAGAAAAAUUUAUCUAUUAAAUUCACAAUUUUGGGUAUAAGAAUACUUUGUUCAAUACAUAAAUAGUCAAAUGUGUUAGUCUUUAAAGGAUGACAUCUAGAUACCAUACACCAUAACUAUCCUCUCUUUGUUUUUUCUUGGCUAUGAUUUUUAUAAUAAUAAAGAUUUUCGUUCUAAAACAAAGAGUAUCGAUAAAAAAAAAAAAAAGUGUCAUUUUUGUUAGAGAUUGACGACUAUUUUGAAUUGAUAGAUUGUCUUAGUUUUUAGGAGCUUAGAGCUUGUUUUACGACGUGAUUUAAAAAUAUCUUUCUAUUUUUCUAAAAAAAAUGACUUCUAAAAUUUAAUAGCAUUGUUUAGCAAUUGUUCUCUAGAAAUGGUUCAAAAAAAAAAUUAUGAACGUUCUCUUAGAGAACAUAGAGAAAUAAGAAUAAUAAUAAUUAAAAAAAUGAUAAUAUAAGAUUGUGGACCCCGCACUUCUGCACAUGCGUUCCACUCGAUGACGAAACUCAUUGUUUUAUUUGUUUAGUGAAAUUUUGAUUUUUAGAAAAGACUUGGAGUCACCACUUAUUUUUGUUUUAUUUUUAAGGGAAAACAAAAUAAGAAAGAAAACUCUAAGUGUGACUUCUUAUUUGGAAAAGAGGGUCUAUGGAAAACCAAACUUGGGUUUGGGGGUCAAGUUACUUAUUGGGAAGGUAUGGUAAGGACCAUAACAUCCCUCCAAACCCCUAAAAAUGAGUCUCUACUAAAUAAGGUGAAGCAAACGUGGAAAUUGACAAGGAAAUUGUUAGCCCAAGGGUUCUCCUAAUCGGGUUUUGAUGGUAACAAACCAUGGUUAAGUGACUAAUUGGUUUAAAUGUUUAAGAAUCUCAGGUACAAACCCGAAAAUUCAUCAAAGAACCAAAUGGAUAAAAGAUCGAGACGCUUAGAAGACUUGUGAUCAUAGGAAACUAAUGCAAAAUGAAUGCAUGAGUGCACUUAGGAUUUUCAUAUGUUUCAUGCACCUUAGUGAUAACCCGACUCUUGGUAGCUUGGCAUGUAAGGGUAUCAACAAAAUUUAUACCUAACGUCCUUACACUAAAGUAGCAAAGCUACUAUAGCAUAGUGGCUCUAGGAUCGAACACUGGGAAGGGUUUUUACUUUAACUGAUGAAGUUCGGAGGAUGGAGUGAACUUUUCUUAAUAAAGAUUAGGUUAAGAUGAAAACAUAAAAAGAUGAAGGUGUUGUAAACUAAACUAACAUGCAAAUAGGUUAAAAGAUGGGAAAAGAAGUUUCUCAAAGCUUUGGAUAGCCAUGCUUAACUCACCGUGUAAAAAUAGAGAUUUUGGAACUUUUCACCUCGAGUUGGGGAAGCAACUCAGGUGAUGCUUACUUCUCGAACCGGUAUGUGUUUAACAACUGAGUUUUAGUCCUUCAAAACUUACAAAAAGGGUAGCUGAACCUCAUAAAUGCCCUUUUAAUGAUAUAGGUCAUCUCCUCGACUUGCAAUACAAUGGCUCGUAGGAGAUAACUAAUGAACGUCAGUGGAUCUAACAAUAAGAAUCCACUGAGACCAAAAGGUUAUCAAGUAUUGGCCAUUCAAAGCAAGUCAGAGGGAUUAAAAGCUUUACUUUGAAUGAAAACAUUUAUGAUGCUCAACUACUUACAUUUAUGGCUUGGAAAUCUCCAUCCUGACACGGGAGCUUCACAUGGCAUCCAUUACUUCAAGAAACUAAAAGGUUUUAGCCUCUCAUCCUUGGGGAUUUCAUCCUCCAAGGAUGUUUGGCUACUAAGAAAAUAGAAAAUAGUAGAGAGAAAAAGAAAGCAAAAGAUAUUAUGUAUUUAGCUAAGUGUAAAAUUUUACAAAAGAUGGUCCCCUGGAGAAAGUUCCCCCGACCAUCCUAAAAUGAAAAUUACAAAACAAUAUAUAACAGGUUGUUUACCCCUGUAUCCUUGCUUAACAACUAAGGAAUCAUUUAAUUGGUGGAUUACAAGGAGAGAAUUGGGAUUUAGACAACAAAUAUCUGAGGCAAAAUAACAAAAAACGUUGGUCGCAAAUAUCUGGAAGCACUCAGGAGAAUUUCGCAGGCGCACAAAAUGGCUGCGAAAUUUCGCAGAUGAACAAGAUGGCUGCGAAAUCAUUUCGCAGCCGAAGGCUGAUUUCGCAGCCAAAGGCUGAUUUCGCAACCCUGCGAAAUUGGCCUUCAGCUUGGAGUGAUCUGCUUCCAUUGGCUCUAACUUCUUCAUUUCAACUCUAAUUUGCGAACCGUUUGAAGCAUUGGAUUGUUGACUUCCCGAUCUUCGAAACGACAUAAAGCAUGCAUAAAUUGGACUAUAGGAAGUACUCCAAAAGUGGCUGAAAUGACUGUCAUCAAGAAUGCUUCAAGGUAGAUUCUCUCUUUACUUCUCCUCCUUGCAUUCCGGAUUGGUUAUGGCAAAGGACUUUAAGGCUUCAAAGCUCUGAUUCUUCAUGUUCCUGAGCUUUCCAUUGCUUUACCAUGGAUUCCAAAUAACUCUCCUCCAUCUUGGAUUGCUUUGGUGAUCAAAUUACUAACAAAAACACCAAAACUUACACAAAGUGAUUAGAAGUGAUUGCAAAGGUCCUUAAUAUGUUAAUUGGGUUAAAGGGCGAUAAUUACUACUCAAAAGUGUUUAAAAGAGUUAAUUACAAGCUAUCAAAUAGCCCUUUUUGAGUAGUAAUCACUUAGAAAACUCGGUUUAUUCUUUAAAAUGUCGAUUUCAUUAAAACUUGAGUUUUUAACUAAUUUACCUUAGGCAAAAUGUUUCAAAAUUGACUUAAUAAUUUACCUAAAGACCUUGCCUAAGUGUUAGAAAAAAAAAAAAGAAUCAAAAAAUAGGUUUUUCCGGGCCAAAAAGGCUCAACCGGUCGAGGCUAUGGCCAACCGGUCAACUGGUUAAGGAAUCGGUCGAUCGGUUGAGGUUGUCUGGUCGAGGACCGGUCGAGGAAGGUCAAAAACCUUCUCUCUCUCCCAUAGCCUUCUCUUCCCAAUCGAGGUGAUUCCCUUACCGGUCAAGGUCCGGUCAAGGACCGGUCAAGGUCCGGUCAAGGACCGGUCAAGGUCCGGUCGAGGACCGAUCGAGGACCGGUCGAGGACCGAUCGAGGACCGGUCGAGGACCGAUCGAGGACCGGUCGAGGUCCGGUCGAGGACCAGUCGAGGUCCGGUCGGGGAAUCGGUCGACCAGUUGAGGUUGUCUGGUCGAGGACCGGUUGAGGAAGGUCAAAAACCUUCUCUCUCUCCUAGUAGCCUUCUCUUCCCAGUCGAGGUGAUUCCCUUACCUGUCAAGGUCCGGUCAAGGACCGGUCAACGAGGUCCGGUCGAGGACCGAUCGAGGACCGGUCGAGGUCCGGUCGAGGUCCGAUUGAGGCAACGAUAACCUAUCAUGCAUUAAAUGCUCCAACGGCUAGUGAACCGGUCGACCCCCAGCUCAACCGAACGAGGUUGCCUUUUGCUGUUUUUGACUCCCGAGCUUAGAAACCUAUAAAUUGAGAGCUCCACUUCAUUUAUUGAUAAGAUAACACUUGCAUUCAAAGCCCACCUACCUGUUCUUGAUCAAAAAGCUCUCAUUUCUUUCAUAGUGCAUUAAAUUACCACUUACAUAUCCUUUAGUGCACUCUUGUUUGUCAUCCUAGCUUUGUCUUGUAUUUGAGCCAUUUUUAAGCUAGGUUGAGUGAUUAUAUCUUGUAACAAUCCGAGUGUUAAAGUCUUCAAGAGGGUUGAAUCUUGAAGAGGUUGUGUAAGAGCCCAUUGGAUUCGGAAUCCAAGUGUAAGAAGAUUGGAAGCUUGGUUGAAGCUUCAAAUUAGUGGAACCCUCACUCGGUUAGAAGGUUGAAGAGAGUGGACGUAGGCAAGGAAGUGACGAACCACUAUAAACCCAAGUUUGAAUUCUCUAAACUCUAUCUCUUUACUUUGUUCAUAUUUUGUUUAAAUUUGUUGUGAUUGAAAAGAUUUUAAAAACCCAAUUCACCCCCCAUUUUGGGUGUUUUUCUUAACUAAGCAUAGCCUUUGUUUUCUCAUAAAUCAAUAGAUACCAAUAAAAUGAUUGAAUAAUAAAACAAAUCGAGCAUGAGAAUGAAUAAAUAAAUGAAGUAGGAGUGAGAGCGUACCUUAGCAGCAAAUAAUAGUGCACUAUCAUGGAAAAAAUGUUAGCUCAAGUACAAAAUUUAUCGCAUGCAUAUCAAAGAGCAAGACAAAGAUCAAGCAAUAUUCAUUAAGGUGUGGCUCUUAUAAAGGUGCAAAAAGAAGUUUGAUAAGCCCACAAUGCAAACAAAAGAUUCUCUGACCAAUCCCGAGAAGUCUCAAUCAUCCUCUGCAAGAUCCUCUUAAUAUUCUUAUUCACAGCCUCUACCACUUCGUUAGUCUGCGGCCUAUACGCAGAUGAUCUAUGAUGCUGGAUAUCGUAUCUCUGUAAUAAAGUGUCAACAUCUACUCUAAAAUGUACUUCUAUGCUCAAAAUCAGCUCAUGAGGGACUUCAUAGCGACAAAUAAUGUGUGAUAUGAUGAAACUAGCGACCCAAAAUGAUUUCAAUCUCGCAUAUGAAGCAGCCUCCACCCACUUGGUAAAGUAAUCAAUGACGACCAAGAUGAACUCAUGACUACUGGAAGACUUUGGCGAAAUCUUCCCAAUAAUGUUUAUACCCCAUACUGAAAAUGGUCAUGGUGAAUUCAGUGCAUGUAACUCUAAAAAGGGUACGUAGAUAAGGUCUUUAUGAAUCUAGCACUCUCGACAUCUUUAAACAAACUGGCAAUAAUAUUUCAUAGUCAACCAAAAAUAGUCGGUCUUCAUGACCUUACAAGCUAAUAUAUGUCCUCCCAUAUGUGGUCCACAAACUCCCACAUGAACCUCUCUCAUCACUCAAUCGGUAGAGGCGUGGUGAAAGCACAAUAGUAAUAUCCCAUCAACUGAUCGUUUGUACAAUGUCUCCCCACAGAUCACAAACCAGGUGGCUAACUAUCUCAAUGCUCUCUUAUCCUUCGUUGUGGCAACCUCAGGAUAUAUGUCAAGUCUCAAAAACUGAUAUAUGUCAUAGUACCAAGGCAAACCAUCAUCCAACUCUGCCUCAUCAAUCAAGCAACAAUAGGUAGGAACUAAUCUCGACUCAAUCAGUAAAGGGCGAACAAUGGUAUCAGCGGGAAUAUCAAUCAUGGAAGCUAGAGUAGCUAAGGCAUCAACAAACUGGUUUUGUGCUCUAGGCAGAUGAGUAUAACUCAAAUCAUCAAAUCUCCCAACCACUAGCUCUAAGCAUGCAUGGUAAGGCUUAAGUUUCACAUCUUUAGUCUUCCAAUUGCCUUAAAUCUAUCUCAAUACCAGAUUGGAGUCACUAAACACCUCCAUCUGUCUAAUCCCAAGCUUAAGAGUUGUCUCUAAUCCCAAGAUACAAGCCUCAUACUCAACAAUAUUGUUCAUGGCAAGGUGUCGAUCAAAGAAUGCCAAACGAACAAAUCUAGGAAUGUGGUCACCAUGAUGGGAUAUCAGUAGAACACCUAUCUCGUGUCUAGAAUGGUUGGCCGCACCAUCAAAGUACAUGCGCCAACCUGACGAAGUAGUCACUGCAGCAAUAUCCUCAUCUAGAAAGUCAUCAUCAAUAGCUCUACCAUCAGAAAAACUAGUAAUGAGGCUAAGUAAUCUACAACAAUGCUCCAUCUGAUAGACUUUUGAGUGACAUAAUGAAUAUCAAACUCAAUCAAGAGUACCAACCAUCUUAUGAGUCGAUCAAUCAAAGCAAGCCUGUCAAACAAAUAUCUCAGAGGAUCUAGACAAGAUAUCAAGUGCACUAAAUACUCCAUCAUGUAAUGUCUCAAUCUCUUAGUAGCCCAAACCAACGCCAAACAGAAGCGUUCAAUCAUGACAUAUCUUGUCUCAUAAUCAAGCAUCCUCUUACUCAAAUAAUAAAUAGCUCGCUCAUUUCCAGAAUCAUUAAGCUGAGCUAGCAUGCAUCCCAAGGCUAUAUCUGAGACUGACAAGUAUAGGAAUAAGGGACGACCUGGUGUAGGAGGCACCAAGACUAGAGGCGAAAACAAGUACUCCAUGAUCCUCUCAAAUGCACGCUGACACUCAUCAUCCCAAACAAGAGGUCGACUCUUCCUCAAGAGUAAAAAAAUGGGCUCGCAGAUAUCUGUCAAUCUGGCGAUGAAUCUACUGAUGUACUAUAGUCUACCUAAAAAACCUUUGAUCUCUCUCUCAGUUCUCGGCGCAGGCAUGUCAAGGAUGGCUCUAAUCUUAUCUGGAUCUAUUUCUAUGCCUCUCUCACUGACCAUGUAUCCCAGAAGUCACUUAAAAAGUGCACUUCUUAGGAUUCAGUCCUAAUCUGAACUAUCUGAUCAUAUCAAAGAAUCUCUUUAAAGCUACUAGGUGAUCUACUCUAUCUUGGGAUUUCACUAUCAUGUCGUCUAUAUAGACCUCGACAUCCUGAUGCAUCAUGUCAGGGAAAAGGAUAGUCGCUGCUCUUUGAUAAGUAUCUCCUGCAUUCUUCAACCCAAAUGGCAUAAGUAGCAGUAAGUACCCCACUCAGUAAUCAAAGACAUCUUCUCCAUGUCCUUUAGAGCCAUCAUAAUCUGAUUGUACCCAAAAAAUCUGUCCAUAAAGGACAACAUCGAAUGACCUGUUGUACUAUCAACUAGCAUGUCAAUGUGUGGGAGAGAAAAAUCAUCCUUGGGAUUGACCUUGUUGAGAUCUCAGAAAUCAACACACACUCUCACCUUGCCAUUCUUUUUGGGAACAAGGACGACAUUGGCCAACCACUCAGGAUACUCAACCACUGAUAAGAAUCCCACACUAAGUUGCUUCUGAAUUUCUUCUUUCACCUGCAGACUCCAACGAGGAUGCAAUCACCUCAACUUCUGCUUAAUCGGUCUAGCAAGGGGUAGUAGUGGCAAGUAAUGUUGGACUAUGGAUAGAUCAAGGCUAGAUAUGUCCUCAUAAGACUCUACAAGUGAUGUUGGACUAUGAAUGGAUCAAGGCCAGACAUGUCCUCAUAAGACCAUGCAAAGACAUCCAAAUAUGAUAUGAGUAACUGGGCAAGGCCACCACUCUCAUCUGUAAACAAAUCCAAUCCAAUCCUUAGCUCCCUAGGCUGGUCUGUUGUACCAAAAUCAACAAUCUCAGCGUCUCCUGUGGUAGGUGAAACUCUCUGAUCACUAGGACUCAAAUCAAAAGCAGAAGAAGAGUCCGCAUCUGAAUUGUGAUGUACAAUCUCAUCAUCUAUAUCAAAUAUUUGUGAUGUGGGUGAAUGAGGUGCAGAUAAAGUGUUAUCACAAGAAAUAGGCAAAUACUCAAAAAGACUCAUAUCCAUAUAUGAAGAAAGAGUCAGUAGAUCAUCAGAAUGGGAGACAAACCUUGAUAGUAUAUCAAAAGAAAGUGGUGGGUCCACAUGUUUGGACUCUACCAUGACUGGGCUAUUCACACACACAAAUACAUCAUCAUCAACUAUAUCAUCCUCUGAAAACUCCAAAGCAGGAGCAAUCUGGAUCUCCUCAGCAACCUCGAUGGCGGACACCCCAAAUAGAUCAAAUGGAGAAGCAAACUCAGGUUGGACUAUCCCAUCAAUCUGACUCAUACUCAUCGCGAGCAUCUCAUCAAUGUACCUGUCAUGUGGAACAACUCCAUCCACCAUGUCCCUAAUCUCAGCAAAUGUCCCAUGCUCGUCAACCUCAUCCAAGAAAUAGAGUGUCAUGAGGCUCAUAUGAUCUGGAAAUGAUGGGGUGGCUAAUGCAGAAGCAGAAGUGCCAGGAGCUCCAUCACUCAACCGUAGCUGAUGGACAAGACGCUGAAGCUCAACCUCCUGAACAGUGUUGAAUCCAUCAAUAAUCACACUUGAAUGCGUCUAUGGCUUUGACGCCCUCACAAAGUAGUCCGCCAAGCUCAUGUUGCAUGAGCAAAUAGGAUAGUCAAAUGGUGUGUGAGUCAAUCGGGCUUUCACUCUCUCUUUGCUCAAUCACACCAUAUAUCAAUAAUCGGCCUCAAUAGAAAUAAACCCAAAUCCAAAUGGUACAUCACGAUAAAAAAUAGUUAUAAACUCAUUGGGCCCAUGCUAACAUCGCCCUAAUCCCAUGCUCGGUAGAAAAGACAUGCUCCUCAUCAUGUCAAGCACCAUUGUACUACCGUGUUGAUCAAAUGACAUAGCCAUAAAGUCCCUACAAAAAUCCUCAAUCUCCAGAGUCUACACCUCAUCAAAUGUGAACCCAGUAAAAAACAAAUCAUCCUCAUUGUGACUAAUCUGAAGCAUUGGCUUGGAAGAAGCAAACAUAUCUCCAAUGGACCGCACUAUGAUGACCUGGCCAUCAUGAAUGAACUUCACCUUCUGAUGAAGGAAAGAAGGAAUGGCCCCAGCACUAUCAAUCCAAGGUCGGCCAAUAGUAGGUUAAAAGAUGUAGAAAUCCUCAAAACCUGGAACAGAAUAGGAAAUGUAGUUGGACCUAUCAAUAGCUUGAUCUCCAAAGUGCCCAUGACCUCCCUCUUAAUGCUAUCAUAUGCUCUGACUUUCUGAGUAGAGGGACCAAAGUUUGAGGAUGCAUAGCCGAGGGCAAUGACAUAAGCUAAGGGACAGACGUUCAGGGUUGGGUCAUCGUCCAAAAUGACAUAUAGGACUCGGUGGCCUAAAAAACCAACUAAGAUGUAUAGAGGACAUGUAUGGUCUGAACCCUCGGGUGGCAAAUCAUCAUCUAAAAAUAUAAUACAAGUGGCUCUGCCAACCGUCAUCAUGUGAAUCAACCCCUCGAGAAUAGUGGUAGUCUCGACUCUAAUCUAACUCAAGGCUCAAAUCAAUGCAUUUUUAUGAGUGCUAGAAGAUGCCAAUAAGCUCUAAAUAGAUAUACAAGUCUGGGUACUCUACAACUGUCUCAGAAUAUCAUCAUCAUCUCUCUUGACCUCCUCAUGAGAGGCUGCACCCUCCAAGGGUCUAGCGGUUGUGAGGGGUUGUUGUCAUACUACCUUACCUCUGUGAAUAACAUAUUGUAUAUCUGGAGUAUGAACAUCAUCAACAUAUGGAGUAUGUACCUCAUCAACGUCUGGAAUCAAAACAAACGGAGUCUGAACACUAUAACAUGGAAAAAUCAAUGGCUCGACUAUAGUCGACUGUAUUGAUGUCACAUCGGGAACCAAUUUGAAUAGUGUGGGCAUCCAUGGGCCCAAGGUCAUUCUACUUACCUCAUAAAUCCCAUCUACUACUAUAGGCUCUAGCACUGACUCAUCCCAACUCAGCAUGUGGAUAUGAUCAUAUGGCUUAGUGAAAUCCAUGAAAUGUAUACCGUUGGUUGGUAGAGAGACUGCAUGUGAAGUAUAAGCUGACAGAGGGUUAGUGGUUACACUUGGCUGACCCAAGUGAACCAAACCCUGAUCUAUCAAGUCCUCGAUGGCGUGCCUCAAAGCAGUGCAAUGGUCCGUGUCAUGCCCUAGACCUUGAUGGUAAGAACAAUAUAAAUCCAUCCUGAAGAGAGGUGGCAUGAGUUGAGGUAUAUGUCGAGGAGCUAACUGAGUUAACAAACCACCCUCCAUGAGCUUUUAGAAAGCUCGGUUCAAAGGCAUACCUAGUUGGGAGAACUAUUGUGUCAACCUUUGUACAAAAGAAAUAAUAGUCUAUGGGGCUCGGGGCUGAGGGUAUAAAGUAGGAGGCCUAUCUAUGACAUGUGCAGCAAAAACAGGUUGUGAGACCAGAUGUAGAUAAGUAUGAGUCAUAGGUUUGGAGGAAACAGGUGGCCUAUACUGUACAUGAGGUGGUGGUGGGUAGUAGAAUCCAGAAGGCUGCCCAACUGUCUGAUAGCACUCACAUCUUUUAGUCUCUGUCCUCCUAAAGGCUUCUUUCCCUAAGAGUCAGUAGGGGAAGACUCGGACCAUAAUCCUCUAGUUAUGUCCUCCUCUAUACCAUAUAAAUCCUGUACCAAAGAUCCAAAAUCCGUAUGAGGAAAUCCCAUCAAGUGCCUAGCAAAUCAAGGCUGCAAGCUCCUCGUGAUCAUACUAAUCUAAUCAUUCUCUGAAGGAUGAUCAAUAACCUAUGAAAUCUUCUCUCUUUAGCGGGAGAUAAAUGAGGUGACCGACUUCUCUAGCCUUUAUCUCAAAGCCUCUAACUCUCUCCUCGAAACAUCAAUGACAAUGUUAAAUGCAAACUGUCUCAAGAACUUCUAGGCCAAAUCAUCCCAAGUCCGGCGGCAUGAUACAUCCAAUGAAGCAAACCAACGUUAUGCCACACCACUCAGGGAUAUAGGAAAAAACAUAACCAUCUAGGCCUCAUCCAGUCCAUGGGCCCUCAUAACCGUACUAUAAAGCCUCAAAUGGAUGCGAGGAAAGCCAAUGUCCGUGUAUCUCUCAAUCUUAGACAUCCUAAACUUGGUUGAUAAACUGGCCACUGGUGCUCCAUUAAAAUCCUCCCAAGUAAUAGCUUCAUCUGAAGUCUUCAUCUGUCUCAUCCUCCGCUCAAGUCUAUCCAUACGAGCAUGUGGGUCCUCUGAGAUCGGGGUAGGCACUAUGACAGGAAGCAAGGCAACCUCAGUCUGACUCUAUAAAGUAAAUGAUAUAGGUUGUGAAACUAUCUAACCAAGUGGGAGAAGUGGCGGAAUAGUGGGAUCAUACUGCACACUCUCCUGAACUAGAACCUUUUGGGUUUGCUACCCAUCCAUCAUUUGAUCAAGACUAGUUAUGGCCUCCUGGAUCGAAGCCAUAGCAGCAACGAACUAAUCAAAUGUAACCACCUACGAAUCCAUAUCUGCCUAAUCUAACUGGUCUGACACUCUGAUCAAUCUACCUUUAACUCUGAUCUAAGAAGUUGAACUCAUAUCAAACAUAUCAAUACACCUACAAUAGUGGAAAUACUAGAUAAGAUAUUGUGUAAGGGAAACUCUACAAGGAGUGUUUAUCAACUAUGCAGGAAGGUAACCUGGAAGUAUUGAAACUGAUAUCUAAUUCUGAGCAAAUAUAUAAGAGACUACUACGAAGGUAACUAAAUUUAUCACUACUGACCCAGCUCUGAAGGCCCAUAGAUGCACCCACGUGUGGGAAAGGAAAUUCUGAUCGAAUAAUCUAAGGCUCAACCUAUAAGGUCAAGGUGGCUCUAAAAAAAAAAAAAGAUGGACUUUAAAGGAUCCAUAGCAGAAGCGAUCAUACCCUUCGACGGUAUGCAACCCUUUGCACGCCUUUGAAAAGACGAGGCUCUUCCAUGCAAGAUGGUCAUCACCUCUACACAUGCACUACCUCGACAUCCUAAGGGUAUUUGCUAUAGUGAAAGCUCUCACAACUCUCAGCACUCAGUAGUCAACUAAAGUGCAUAGUGAGUGGUGCAGGUGCAUCCGAAAAACCUAUGAAGCUAAAGUAGAAAAAAAAAUACAUUAGUCACACAAAUAUCCAUGAAACCUAGCUCUAGGCUAUUCAGGUCUUCAAAGAUCGGACUCCAAUCAACAUCAAUGUGUCGACCUCCUCAAGAAUGCUCCUAAACAUCAAUAUAGCCCAUCACUAGACCUUACUCCUAACCACUAGCUCGGUCAUAGAAACAAGUACACACAAGGCCUCACACUUGCAAAUAUAAGAACCAAAAUGAAGGAAAUGACCGAAACCAAAGGGUUGGAGGUAAGGGGAUAGAUGUGUGAUCCACACGGACAACCAACAUACAAUCACAUAGGAGAAGAUUAGUUAUGCAACAAGCAGUCAAGCAGAGCGCAAGUAUAUCAUCCAUGUCCAUACACAAGCCAAACAAAAAUAUGACAAUCAAAAUGACUAGCAACAAGGAUAGCAUGCUCAAAUAUAAUCAAGAUAACAUACAAGCAAGAUAAUCAACACUAAGACAAAUAAAAGAUGCAGCAAAGUGAACAUACAUGUCAAAGUAAGUAGGAUAAUCAAGGCAAGAGCAAGAUCGAUCAAUACCAUCAACAUGCCAAUGUUGCAAAGGGAUAUAACAAUUAAGCAUAGAAAAUCGUUGCAUCAAAAUCCUCAAUGUGCUAUGAUCACUCAAGCAUUGAAAAUUGUAAUUUUGAAAAAUUAUUUGAAAAUUGGAGUUUUGAAAAUUAAAUUUAAAAAUUAGAAUUUUGGAAAAUUAAAUUUAAGAAUUAGAAUUUUGGAAAUUGAAUUUGAAAGAAAUUGGAGUUUUGAAAAUUAAUUGAGAAUUGGAGUUUUGAAAGUUAGUUUUAAGAAUUGGAGUUUUGAAAAUUAAUUUUGAAAGAAAUUGGGGUUUUGAAAAUUAAUUGAAAAUCGGAGUUUUAAAAAUUAAAUUUAAGAAUUGGAGUUUUGAAAAUUAAUUUUGAAAGAAAUUGGAGUUUUGAAAAUUAAUUGAGAAUUGGAGUUUUGAAAAUUAGUUUUAAGAAUUAGAGUUUUGGAAAUUAAAUUUAAGAAUUUGAAUUUUGGAAAUUAAAUUUGAAAGAAAUUGGAAUUUUGAAAAUUAUUUGAAAAUGGAAGUUUUAAAAAUUAAAUUUGAAAAUCGGAAUUUCAAAAAAUUAUUUGAAAAUUACAUUUAAGAAUUGGAAUUUUUUUAAAAUAGAAGUUUUGAAAAUUAAAUAUGAAAAUCGGAAUUUCGAAAAAUUAUUUGAGAAUGGAAUUUUUAAAAGAUCAAUUUUGUUAACAUAAAAAGAUGGAUUAGGAGGGUGACAUGUUAGGCUUGGGAUUUGGGUCUAAUAGAUAGGCUUUGAUAGAGGUUUUGCAAAGGUGGCCAUACAGGAGUUAUUCACAUGCUUAUGAAUGGUGGGGGAAGAAAACUCAGACCAGAUUUGAAAAUAAGAACAUAAAUAUGAUCUCCAAUGCAUAAAAUAGCUUAAAUUAAAUCAAAUUAUUCCCAAGCCAAAAGCCAAAGUAUAAAUAAAUAAACCAACAACAGCACACCUAUGAAUGGCUCAGAAAUCCAAUAAAUUCAAACACAUAACCUAAUGUUCAUGCUUAGCAAACAAUCCACAAAAAAGAAAAUAACAAAAAGGAAGAAGAGCAUAUUAUGGUGAAGCAGAAUCAAACCUAAGCAAGUCCUCUCACUCUUUCUGUUUUUCUCUCUUAGAUACCGACUCUCUGUUUUUUCUUUUUUUCACUCAAGCUCUCUUCCUCAAGCUCCGUUUUCAGCUUGUUUUUCUUCCCCUUCCAACUUUAAAAAAAAACCUCUCCUUGCUCCUCUUUCUUCCUCCCAACGGCCACCUCUUGCUCUUGCUAAAAAAACCUCAUUUUCCUAUCUCCACACCAGCUCAUUUUUCUUCUCAAAACGUCUCCUGUUUUUUGUCCAGCUCUCAAAACCCCCACCUGUUGAUAACCUCUCCAAUCCGGCUCCCCCUCUCCAUCCCUUUUUUUUUUUUUCUCUUCAAUCCUCCCCUCCAAGCUUCAGUUUUUCUCUAAAAAAAAAACCAUCCUCUCCUAGUCUCAUCUUCCCUCUUAAAAACAGCUCACCCAUGGACAACCUCUCCAUUUUUCUCUCCCGUUAGCUUCCACCAGCUCUCUGCUUCCUGUCCACUCCUCUAUUUUUCAUUCAGAAAAAGUCUCAUCUCAACCACCACCAUGGCAAGGUGGUGGUGUGUUCUUGCCACACAUCCCAUGCAACUUUGAGCACUCGUGAAAAGGUCGUCCCCCACUUUUCCAAAAAAAAAGCCCAGCUCACUGUAGCCAAAUAUGGGUCUACAAAUAUGAUUAUUUUAUUCUUUCAUUUAUUUUCCACCAAUCAAUACCGAAAAUCUUAAAAUAUAAUCAUUUUCUUAAUUACAUGUGGUUUUUAUAUUUUCUUUAAUUUCUCUAAAUUUUGUCAUUAGGAAAAUAAAUUCUAAAUUAAAUAGUAUUUAAUACGUAUGAUUUAGUAAUGUUUUAAAAUGAUUUGAAACUAAAAAUUUAUGUAAUUAGUAUUAAAAAUCAUGAAACUAAUAAUCAAUCUAGGUAAUAUUAGAAAUUUACAAAACAAAAUUCAUUAUAUAUGCCUUCACUAGUUUAUGUUUUUAUACAUAAUCAUAAUUUUGUGAAUUUUUUCACUAGACAAAUAGACUUCAAGUAAGCAAAACUUAAUCUAUUAGAUUCAUGAAUGAAUCUAAUAAAUUUUAAACAUAAUUUGAAACUCAAAUAGUAAACCAAUUCAUACCAUAAAUUUAUGGAUAAAAGUUAAUCAAGAAUAACUCUAUUAGUUCUCUUUUAUGUAGAAUCAUAUUUUUCCAAAAUUUGCUCACCAGAAAAAUGGAUUUCAAGUGAAACAAGACUUAAUACGUUAGAUUUAUUAACAAGUCUAUUAAUUCAAAAAUAUUUAAAAAUAAAAAAUAAAACAAUUAUUAAUAUAAGUUGACAAACUAAAAUUGUUCCAAAAUGACUCUCCUCUACACAUAUCUAUAUUAUUUUAAAAUUUGUUAUUAAGCAAAUAGAUUUAAAAUCAAGCAAGACUUAAAAUGUUGAAUUUAUUAAUGAAUUUAAUUGUUUUUAAAAUAAUUUGAAACUUGAAAAUAGAUAAAAUCACUACCAAAAAUAAUAGAUCAAAACUAGUACAUAAUGAGUCAUAGCUUUAUUGCUCUUUAUAUGUACACAACUAUAUUUUACGAGUUUUAUCACUAAGUAAAUAGAUUUUAAAUUAUGUGAGACUUAAAACUUUAAAUUCUUUAAUGAACCUUCUAAAUUUUAAGGAUAAUUUGAAAUCUAAAAAUUUGAUCAAAUUAAUUAUAUACUAAAUCAAAACUUGUCCAAAAUAGGUCCAUGCUAAAAUACUAAAUAUGUACAUGCAACGGUUUUAAAUAGAAUAUUAUUAACCAUUAUUAUUUUUUAAUUAUUAUUUUUUUAAAAGAAAAAUUAUUAUGCUUUUAUGAAGGUAUUAAUCUCUAUAUUUUUAUAAUAUAUAAUGAAAUAGUAUUAGUUUUUUUAAUAAACAAAAUAUAAUUUAUGAUCUUAAUAUUAGUUUUCAUAUUUUACGAAAAAAAUAUUUAUUUUAAAAUUUUAUUUGUAAUUAAAAAAUUAUUUUUAUUUUUAAUAAGACUUGAAUUAACUUGAAUUAAUAUUAUAAUUGAAUUUAUAAUUUUUUUCUAAAAUCAAAGCAUAAAAACUAUUUAUAAAAACAACUUAUUUAGAUAAGGUUUUUUUUUAUUUCUUUGAAAAGUGUUUUUAAAAGAUAACUUGCCAAAUAGUCUUGUCUUUCGAAAAUAUACAAAAUAAAAUAAAAUAAAUUAUUUUUGUUCUUUAACUUAAAAACUGUUAUUAAAAACAAGUAUAAGAAAAUAUUAUCAAAGUGAGCCGUUAGUUUUUAGUAAUUAGUUAUUUUUGACAAAGUUUAGUGUUUCCACAUUCAGAAAGUUUAAACUAAUUUGUUUUCAUUUUAGUUUAAUAUUCUCAUUAGCUGUUCUUUUCUUUUUUUACCUUAGAAUUUCUCCAAUUUUAUGCUUAGUAGGUAAAUAGAUUUUGCAGGUAGACUCCAAUGAAUUAAUCAACCAAUUCAACCUAUGGUAGAAAACAAUUAAGGUCAAAACAACAAUAACAAUCGACCUAUGAUGUCUUCCAUGAAUACAGAUCAAUGGGAGAGCAUUUGAACCCUCCUCAUCUUAGUACACCUUCAUGCUUCAUCAUGUCGUAGGAUCAUGUGACCAUCAAGCCUCAAUUGGUGCCUUUACUCUUGAUCUUCAAAGACAAUGGAAAUGAAAACCCUCACACCAAUAUCAAGGAUGUCAAAGAAAUUUGCUUCACCUUUCAAGAAGCAAACAUGCCUCUAGAUGCGUUAAUAAGAAUAAAGCUUUUUCCACUUACGUUGAUAGAUCGAGCAAAAACAUGGUUGAACACCCUUGGACCACAAGGCAUUGGGACCUAGAAUAGGUUGCAAUUGAUCUUCCUUAAAAUUUGUUCCUACCACACAAGACUAAUGCAUUGAAAAGGGAAAUGUCAAAUUUUACAACCUGGGAAAACAAUAAAUUUUUCUCAUGUUAAGAGCACUUUAAAUGGAUUUUCAAAGCAUGCCCACAUCAUGUCUUUGAUAAUUACAAGUUGAUUUUCAAAGCAAUGUUAGAGACGAUGUGCGGAGGAAAUUUCAUAAGAGUCUAGAUAAAACUCCUUCAAUUUCUAGAUUAUGUGGUUGAAGCAACAAAGAGUUAGAUAGAUCAUGUGAUUAAGGAAUCACAAAGAAUGCAAAGUUCCAAAAAAAUUGAAAGUUUGUGAUAUCUUCAACUUGUUUGAAAGCAUGGAUUUUCAAUUAAAUAUUUCUACCUUAACUAGGAGAUUAGAAGACUUGGAGACCAAAGGAGUCUAAGAGGUCAAAGCAAUGAAUAAGUUAAGAGUGAUGAGAUGUUUGAUAUGCUAGUUAAAGGAGCACAAGGUUACAAGUUGUCCAACACUUCUAGUAGUGAGGCACAUGUUAUCAAAGUUGGCCAACACUUUUGAUUCAUUCAGAUAGAAUAGUAAAACUCUCCAUUCUCCAACACCUAUAAUCUAGGUUAGAUUAAUCAUCUUAACUUAUCUUGGAGAUGGAGUAGUCAAUUUCGUUAGCAAAAUCAUGCUAUGAACCAACAUUCAAAAUGCUUAAUAUCCCUAAUUAAUGAAAAUAAAUUACACACAAUAGAUAAGUUGUGAUUACUCAAUACAAGGUUGGGUGAUAGUUGUAUUUUCCAACACAUAAUGAUGUAAUUGCAAUAACAAUUUAUGGUCGAUAGUGGCCACACAAGCCCCAAGUAAAGGCUUCCCACCUUUGCAUUCAUCAUUCCCAACAUUAGGAAUUCUAAUUGCAUCUAUGCCUAAUACGUACUCUAUGCAAAACUCUAAAGCUUCCUUUGUAUCAUGGCAUUCAACAAAACAUCCCUCUCAGCAAUUAUGAUUUUGUACAUAACCCUUUAAUACCUUCAUAACCUUUCAAAAGAAUACAUCCAUCUAAGGUAAACUGGCCUACAUGAUCUCGUUUUUCUUGUCAAGUGCAUUAUUUAAUGAAGCAUAAUGUCAAAAAAUGAAGGUGGAAUUUUUUUUUCAAGUAAGCAUAAUAUCACCACCAACUCAUCUUAUAGUCUAUCUAAUUUAAACACAUAGACUACUUUGCUACAUGAGGCAUUGAAAAAUAAGCAUAAUCUAGAUAUAGUGUUUCACAUGUUUAAGUAGAAUAUAUUGUAAUUCUACUAGUAAUAUGUUGCAUGAGUGCAUGAUAAUCAUGGGAUUUAAGACCAUAAAGCUUCAAAUUUUCCAUUGACACAAGUUUUAUGAAGUUAGAGGACUAUCCUUCAAGGACUUUCAAGUCAACUAAGGUUUGAUAUACCACUUUUUUCUCUAUCCUAGAAAGUGUGUAGCAUGUAGGUGGGAGGCAAGUCUACUUUAAGUCAAAUUUUGGUGCCAAUUCAAACCUUAUGCCCAUCUCCAUAAGAUCCAACCCAAAAUUGAGUUCAUCUUUUAUUUUCCUGGAAUGUUAAGCAAGGUGCCAAUGAUGCUUUCGCACACAUUUUUCUCAAUUUGCAUAACAUCUAAUUUGUAAUCGACAUACAAAUGUUUCCAAUAUUCUAGAUCAAAGAAUAUGGGCUUCUUUUUCCAACAAAUUGUAGUAUUCACAUUAGAAGUACUUGCUUUAACCUUCUUUUUUCCCCAUGAUUAAAAAUGGAAUCAACUUCUUCUAGUAUUUCCUCUCUAGUUAAUGGUUAUGGAGGUAGCCCAAACUCUUGCUAACCAUUGAAUGCCUUCUUUUGUUUCCUAUAAGGAUGGUUAUAUGGAAGAAACCAUCUAUAACCUAUAAACAAGUUCUUCUUCCCAUGUUUCGAUCUACAAGAAUAUGUUUCUUUCCCACAUAUUGGUAAGCAUAAUGUCCCUUAACAUGAACAACUCUCGUUAAUGUGCAUCAUAUACUUUGACUCUUACCUCCCAAAGAGUUUUAAGAGCUUCCACCAAUAGUGCCAAGUAAACAUCUAUGUCAUUUCCAGGUUAUCAUGGAUUUGAUAUCAAUAAUGAUAACAUCAUAAAUUUCUAUUUCAUGCACAACCAUGGUGGAAGGUUAUAUGCGAUCAUUAUAUAUAAUUGACUAAAUACUAUGACAACUACUAAGAGAAUUGUGAGGAUUUAUGCCAUCUAUUAAAAUAGUAAGUCUAAGUUUUCUAGUCUUAGAAACAAACCUGGGCCAUAAAUGGUCAACUAGCUUCCAUGAUGGAGAAUCAAAUGGGUAAUGCAAAUUCCCAUCAAAAUUUCUUUCUUGGGCAUGCCAUGUGAGAUUUUUUUUACUAUUUGUGAGGAUUGGAAUGUUUUUUUAAACCUUGAGAUAGGUGGAAAAUACCACAAGACUUUUGCAGGAACACUUAUUCUCCUUUUGUUUCCUUUUUUACUUACCUUCUACCUUGAUGUUCCACAAGUACAACAUAAUGAUACAUUUUUAUGCUUAUUUCUAUAAAGAUAACAAUCAUUAGGGCAAACAUGUAUUUUUUCAUAUUCCAUUCUCAAUGCAUUUAAGGUUUUUUUUUUUUUUUUUUUUGCUUCAUACAUGCAUUUCAUUGUUGAUUGGGAGUGUAUCACUUAACAUUUGAAGUAACUCUAAAAAAAUUUUGUCAAACCACACAUAUCUUACUAUCAAGUUAUACAAUUUUACCAAUGCAGAUAACUUUAUAAACUUUGAACAAGCAAGAUAUAAAGGUUUUUUAGCAUCUUCAAGUAGUCUUUUAAAUGAUUAGGGAUCCUUCAUAUAAUCAUCUUGUGCAGCAUAGACCAUCUAAAUGGUAUUGUCUAAAUCAUCACAAUUAAGUUGAUCAUAAUGAUAUCCUUCACAGUUGUUGCUUCCUUACUAAGAACUACCUCUCCAUGCUAAUACCGUGUGCAGUAACUUUGAUUAAUUCCAUUGAAAUAUAAGUGUUCUCUAAUCACUUGAGGAGUAUGGUUCAUUAAGUUGCUAUAAUGUAGGCAUGGACAUCUAAUAUAGUUCAAAUCUCUAGCAUUUAGACUUAUAAAUUGAAUAAAGCUGUCAACCCCUUCUUCAUACUCUUGUGAUCUUCUAUCCUUAGACUACAUCCAAGAUCAAUCCAUUUUUGGGUUGAUUCAACUAAAUUCCUAUAUAACACAAGUUGCAUGAUUUAUUAAUUAUUAAUUCCUAAACCAAACAAGGAUAUAAAUUGAGCUAUACAACUAAUAAAUAAAGUAUUAAAACACGAAAUAGCAUCAUAAUUGUACCUAUAUUAUAGCACAUGCAACCACCUACAUAUGUUCAAUCUUAAACACUUAAUGUUACUUCAUUCAAUAUAAAUUAAAUAAAUGCAUAACUUCAUUUAUUAGCAUGCAAUAAAUUAUCAAUAGAAUGUAUGGGGAUAAUACCCUAAUUAGUAUUAGUGAUAAAUCAUAUCCCAUGAUAAUCCAUUAUGUAAUAUAAAUACUAAAACAAGAUAGGAAGACUAAGAACUUAACUAAUUUAGCAUCAUACAACUAAAUCUAAAGUACCCAAUUUUAUUGUGUUCACUAAAAGAAAGAAGUAGUAGAAAAUUAAUUUACUUUGCAAUUCUAUAUGAUCCAAGUGUAUAUAGUAUAUCAAAUCCUCAAGUAUGAACUCUCACUACAAGAAAUAAGUUUUUAUUAGUUGGAUUCUCAAAAUUAAGAUACUAUUAAUGUAUAUAGAUUCCAUGAAAAUGCUUGUCUUCACAAGGUUGGAAUUUCUAUCCCAUCUAAGAAUUGUAUGUUUUUAAAAUAUUACACAAAGAAGCAAAAUUUAAAAUUGUCAUGAAAAUUUCAACAACAUUUCUCUCCUAUUCUCGUAGAUGAGCCCAAAUUCUCAAUGAAAAUCCUUAAUCAUGUUUUUUAAGUAACUUUGUAAAUUUGGAAUGGCUAAAUGCAGUUUCUAUAUUUUUAUCUACUAGAAGCCUUAAGUUAUAAAAUUGAACUAAUAAAUGGGUUAGGUCAUGAUUGGGAAGCUUGUUUUAGAUCUACCAUCUAUAUUAUUUUAUUUUAAUGGAGCCCAAACUAAAUAGGGAACCCAACCAUCUACCACAAUACCAUGUCAUUUUACUAAUAUGGCCUUUGUUUAUUGGUCAAAUUGGGUCCUAUUUGUUUGUACAAAUUGACACUGUAUGUGGAGUGCAGUGUUCAAUAGUUGGUGAUCCAUUUCAUAAUUUUAAAAUAAAGAAUUUGUUUGUUGAUAAAACAACAACCAUCCACCACCCAUUCAACUAACAAGAUUUAAGAUUAUUGUUUCUUUCCUAUGGGUGAUAAUAAAAAUAAAAAAAUUAAGCCCUAAUACAAUGAAAAUAGAAAAAAAAAAAUUGAAUAGUUUGAUUUUAAGAAAUUAUUAAACAAAAUGAUGAAAAUUGCUAUUGGAAUUCACCAAUUAAUCAAUUCUUCAACUACCACAAUGAUUCCCAAACAAUAGACAAAUCCUAAGUCUAAAGGUACCGUUAUGUCAUCUAAAAAUCCAAAAUAUUUAUCCAAACCUAAACUCUAAAACCCAAUGUGUUUCAAACCUCAUCUUAGUAGGAUUUUUUUUUUAAACAUUAUUUUAAAAAAUUAUAAUUAAAGCAUUGUUGUUUAAAAAAUAAAUAAAAAAAUACAACACUUUUCAUCACUUGUUUUAUUUUUGCACUAAACUCGUAUUUGUUCAAGAGGCGAAAUCACUUUUUAUAUUGAAUUGAAAGACGAGUUCACUUUUCACCUUAAAUUUUUCUAUACAGAACUUGCUUUUUCAAAAGAUAAGUUCACUUUUCCAAUGUUGAACUCGUCUUUUGAAAAAUACAACUUCACUUGAAAUCUAAAAAUGUGAUAGUUUAAAAAAAAAUAAAAAAAAAUUGGUGGUACAACCUUUUAAAAAAGUACACUACUCUUGUAGAAAGGCCUAUCUCAAUACUCCUUUGACUACUAGACUCAAUAGAGUGUGACUUGGUAUAUCAUUUUACAUGCAAUGUUAGAUUUAUUUUUUUUAUUUUUUUUUGGUUUUCAUAUUCUCAUAAACCAAAAAUGGAAACUAAUGAAUAAAAAUAAAAAUUAAAGAAAAAAAAAAAGCAUUUAAAAUAUAUAUCAAGAAAGAAAGAUAUUGAUCACCUAUUUCUUUCAACAUAAGUUCCUCUAAGUAAAAUGAUAAGGUUGCCACUAUGGUUUAAUCUCAGGAGGUUUAAGAGCACACAUCUUCAAUACGGGAAGGUUUGAGAGCACAUCUUUAAUAGGGGAAGGUUUGAGAGCACAUCUUCAAUAGGAGGAGGUUUGGGAACACAUCUUUGGUGGGAAAAUAAGAUUGAUAACUUCUUCUUUUUUAAAUAUAUACUGCUAUUAAAAAUGUGAGGUGUUUGUCAAUUUUUUCAUUCCAAAAAUGUCUGACAACUUACCUUUUAAUUCUAAAAAUACUUCUCAUCAAUUUAUUAAUAACAAUAUAUUAAUAUUUAAUAUUACAAAAUGUAUUCUAUUAUCAUAAUCUAUUAGUAUCAAAUGACAUUAUACAUUUUAUUCUCUUUAGAACCUAUAAUAUUCUUUGACUCUUGAUGAUGUGCCUAAGCCCCAUAUUUUCAAUGCCCACAUAAGCCUUUUCUAUCAUUUUCUCCUCUCCAUGGUCACAACAGCUUCUUCUUCAAGCUUUUAGAUUUUUCUUUGCAAAAUUGCCAUCGUAACAUUCCUCUUCGCCACAAAUGGCAGUCGAUUCAAGACUAUGUCUAGAGUUAUGGUCAUGGUUCUGGAAGGUUUGGAUUGAUGAAAGUGUUAUGUUAGGGACAAGAGAGAGCUUCAAUGAAAUGUAAUGUUUUGGGGAAAGCUAAGAAUGACAAUGGUGGCAAAGAAGGUGUUCCUGAAAAGAAGAAACAGUUUGUGUGGUGGUUUCAGGAGGGGUGGUUGUAUUUUCACAUUCAUAGGAGUGACACAUUUGUUGUCAAUUCUUACUUGGAACCCAUACUGAAGGCACAUUUUCUAUGAAUUUCUUUUCCCCUGUUAAUUUAGUUUGGAUGAAUAAACUGUUAUUGUGUUUCAUAAAAGCAAUAUGGAGGGUUGGUUUGGAUAGUGGUGAUACUCCACAUUCAGAUAUGUUUUCCUUUUGUAUUUUGGAAACUAAUGAAUCAUAACAUGCUUAUUGGUGAAAGGAGAUUGUUGUUUAUCCCCUAUUUGUUUAUAGAGAAUGAAUUGUGUUUGUGGAGUUGACAAUUGAAGAUGUUGACUGUGAUUUAAAUCCAAAAAGUUUUAGAGAAUUGGUCAAAUAAAUCUCUGAUAAAUAUAUUUUUUUAAUGAAUUUACAACUCUUAUCUAAGUAAUUUAUCGCAUUGAUGGUAUCUAUGUAUAUCAAUUAUUUGUGUUCUAAUUUAUUGUGAUUCUAUCUCUUGUGUUAUUAAUCAUUUAGGUUAUUGGAUUUUAACAUUUUGAUUUUUAUCAUUUCCCAUAUUUUUAAUUCAUUGCAUUUUUGUUCAUUGUGAAUGUUAUUUAUUUAUUAUUUUAGCACUCAUUGGGUUUUUUGUGAACACAAUUAGGUCAACUGUUGUUGCCAUUAGUGUUUUUGAUGAUUUUGCUUACAUGUUUAUUAGGGAAAUAUUAGAAUUCAAGGUGUUUGGUACAUUUGAGAGGUAAUCCAAUUUAGUAUUAGAGUAUACCUUUUUUUUUUAUGAAUCCUGACUUUUUUUUUAUUGGGAUCAAAAUUUGUUACUUACUCUAGAAAUUUAGUAUUUUUGUAAAUACUUUUAAUUUGUCUAAUUAUAUUUUUUUAUAAGUAUUUAUAACUUAAAGGUUUUACUAAAAAGAAAAUGAAGUUAGUAGUUUUAAAUUGAAAUUAGUCUUAUUUCUUAAGGUUUUUUUCCUUUUUCAUUUUUAGCUUAAUUGAAUCUAGAACUUUCUUGUAAAUUAUAAUUCUAAAAGGAGUUUUAAUUACAACCUAUUAAUAUUUAAUGUUACCAAAAUCUAUUAAUUAUUCCCUUUAAAAUCACCCUAUAACAUUAUAAAAUAUUAUAAUUAAUACAUCAUCUAAUCAACAAUUAAGAAUUACCCCUUCACUCUUCAAAUUUCUUAUGAUGACAGUUUCACUUUUCAUUUCUAAAGUUUGAAAACUUUUUAAAUUUCUGAUAACUUUUUCCUCUUUGAAGAGAAUUAAGAAGUUUUUGUAAAUUGGCACUCCCAAUUUGAAUGAAGUGCUAUUUGGUGAGUUGUUAUUUAGUGUUCUGAAUGAUUUUACUUAAAUGUUUGUGUUACUUAUGAGAAUAAUUUGAUUACUUUGUUGAAUUUUAUUUUUAUGAUUUUGAGCUUUUUAAAACAAUACUCAAUUCUUUGAGUUUGUUGGAUGUGAGUUGGAAGAAAAUUGAAAUUUAAGGUAAUUGGUAAAUUUGAGAGGUAACUAAAUUUAGUAUUCAAGUAUACAUUUUUUUGUAAUGAAUUUUAAUUCUUUAUUUUAUAAUUCAAUGUUUAUUAGAAUUGAAGUUUGCUACUUAUUAUAUAAAUUUAGUAUUUUUGUAAAUACUUUUAAUUUUUAUUAUUUUUAGACAAGUAUUCACAAGUUAAAUCUUUUAAUAAAAAAAAUAAAGUUAAUUGUUUCAAUUGAAAUUUGGGUAAAUGUUUCUAGAGUAUGUUUUUCUUCAUUUUUUGUCUUAUUGGAUCUUAAUUUUAGAAUAAUUAGAACUCUCUAAAAAAUAAAAUCCAUAUUUUUUUUAAUAUAAAUUACCAUUCUAGAGCUAAAUGCAUUUCCUUAUUUUAUAAUUCAAUGUCCAAUAAUAUGCAUAGGAAUUGGACAAUAUAGUUUUUUGUUUUAUAAUCCAAUAUCUAUAAUAAUUGGAAACUAUAGUUCCUUAUUUUAUAAUCCAAUGUCUAUAGAAAUUAGAGAUUCUUAUUUAUGCUAUAAAUUUAGUAUUUUUACACAUUCUUUUAAUUUGUCUUAUUUUGUUUCUUUUAAAUAUUAUCUUUAACCAAUAUUCACAACUUAAAUCUUAUAAUAGGAAAAGUAAAGUUCCUUAUUUUAAUUUAAAUUGAGGUAAGUGUUUUUCAAGAUUUUUUUUUUUUUUUUUUUCAUUUUUAGUUUAGUUGGAUCUUCACUUUGGGAUAACUAGAAUUUUCUCAUAAUUUUUGUUUGUUUGUUUUUUUUAAAUACCAACCACUAUUCUAAAAUGAAUUAAAAAUAACCACAUUUAACAAUUCGAGAAUGAAAUAUCAAGUAUAUUUGAGAGAUCAAAAACAAUUUUUAUUCUUACUAAGAUAUUUGUCUUUUUAUUUGCUCAUGGUUCUUGUUAUUAUGACUUUGUAUUACAUUCCAGAAACAUAUAGUUUUUCCUUGUGUAAAUAAAUUAAUAAAAUUAAAGGAAAUUGACAAGGAAAACAUAAAAAUAAAAAGUAUGUUUGAAUAAAUAAUCCAAUUUUUUUUUUUUUAAUAUUCAUCUACUUUUCAUAAAAUUAGGACAAGUAAAAGUUACAUUUUGUUGUCCCUAAAUUGCAAUGAAUUUAAAUUAACAAUAGAUAACGGGUUUAAAUAAAAUUUGGUACAUAUCAUUGCUAAGGUGACAUUUAUUUUGCCUAACUUAGAAAAAUUGAUUUUAAAAAGAAUUUUACCAUCUAAGAUUUUUGGAAUGGAAAAAUGUAACAUUAUUUAUAUUUCAUCUCAGUCCUUUUUCCUUUCUAUUUAUAUUUCAACCCAAUCAUUUUUUUUCCUUUUUUAUGUCUAGUUUGAUUAUUUGACUUUGAAUCUCUUCUUAGUUUCAUACAAGGAUUUUAAAAGAAUAAAUUCACAUAUUUAAUUUUUUUUAUUGGAUUUGUUUUCAUAUUACCUAAUCUACGUCGCAUGUGAACACUUCCUAACAUAUAUAUAUAUAUAUAUAUAUAUAUAUACACAUAUGUAUGGAAGAGUAAGAUGACUGUUUCAAAGAAUCAUUUUUAUAAAAAUGACUAUUUAGAAGAGUUAAGGAGCAAGUCUUUGAGGGGAAAUAAAAUCAAUAGUAAAAGAAUAGGAUGACGUUUCGAAAGAAUCAUCUUUAUAAAGAUGACUAUUUAAAAGAGUUAUGGUCUCUUUCCCAAAGUAGAUAUUUAAUUUGAGAACGAGUGGGAAAAUAAAAUUAAUAGCAAUUUGCCUUUUAAUAUUUACAUAAAAGGGAAAGGAUAGGAUGAUUUUUUCAAAGAAUUGACUUCACAAAAUAGAUAUUUAAAUUGCAAAGUCAUUAUUUAUCAUAUUAAUUAAAGAUAAUGAAUUUUUUUUAAAAAAAGUCAUUGAAACAACUGUCAUUAUCUCCUUUUUUGUUGUAGUGACUUUGGAUUUACUAUUAGAUACAUAAUUAACAAAUCAAAGGAUUGAGUGCAAUUAAUUACAAUAGAUUUUUUUGUAGAUAUUAGAAUGUUGAUAGAGGCUGGACAAAAAGGAGGUAACUAGGAUUAAGGCAUAAUGGAGUAUUCCACAGUGAAGGCCAAGAACAGGGAAGAAAAAAUGAGUCAGCUGCAGGUGUUAACCUGCUCUGAUACCAUGAGGGAAAAUAAGAAGGGGAAUAAUUGGUAUAUAUUUUUCUCUAUCUACUGAUGGAAUGAAAAAGCAUCCUAGCCUCCUACGAGGGUCUAACCUUGUGAUUCUCCACUGUAUCAUAUCAGGGUGAUCCAUGGCUUGGUAGUCUUUUCCCUAAAACCUCUUCAUAUUGGCUCGUAACCGAUUCAAAAUUCACGAAAUUCAUAUAGAUCGUUCAAUGAAGUCCCCUAAUCAAGUUCAAGGUAGCCUUUGGUUAUUCUGAAAAUAGAUUUUUUUUUUUUGUUUUUUGUAGGUAUUAGAAUGUUCAUAGGGGCUGGACAAAAAGGAGGUAACUAGGAUUAAGGCAUAAUGGAGUAUUCCACAAUGAAGGCCAAGAACAGGGAAGAAAAAAUGAGUCAGCUGCAGGUGUUAACCUGCUCUGAUACCAUGAGGGAAAAUAAGAGGGAAUAAUUGGUAUAUAUUUUUCUCUAUCUAUUGAUAGAAUGAAAAAGCACCCUCCUACCAGGGUCUAACUUUGUGAUUUUCCACUGUAUCAUAUCAGGGUGAUCUGAACAAAUAACCUUGUUUUAACAAUUAGUCAUCCAUGGCUUGGUAGUCUUUUCCCUAAAACCUCUUCAUAUUAGCUCGUAACCGAUUCAAAAUUCACGAAAUUCAUAUAGAUCGUUCAAUGAAGUCCCCUAAUCAAGUUCAAGGUAGUCUUUGGUUAUUCUGGAAAUAUGACUAAUCUACUUCAGUACAAAAUGUUGAAGUUACAGAAGAAACAAGCCAUGCAUAAAUCACCCACACCCCUCUUCCAAAUUAACAAGCCAUGCACAAAUCAAAUUCCCAUACAUCAAUAUUAUUUUACAUGUCUUUUUAACAGACUGAAUUCAUUAAGACAGAAGAGUACAUAACUCAGAGGUGAAUCCUACACAGCCACUUCUACAGAACCCCAAAGAUGUAAAAGGUCAGGAACAGACACCCAAGCACAAAUGCAGAGGUUGAAAGCUCUGAGGAACUGGGUAGCACCAAAUAAAUGCCAGAAGUAAAUGCUAUCACCAUUCCUAGGAUGGAAACGUAUGUGAGUAUGGCUGAAAAUUUUAUGAAACGUAGAAGCAGAUGAUAGCUUCGUUCCAGUGAAGCAAAAAAGUGGAGAAACACUGCUGCAGUUGAGCAAUAGAAAGCUAUACCAUCUGACAACAAGAAGGCCUUGAAGGCUAUCUUUGUUGAGAGAACUGCUUUACCUUUGUCGGGGCCUUCAUCAUUGUACCCACCAGGUAGAGUAAAGCCUGCUGCAAAAGUGACAGUUGCUAUGAGCGUCGCGACCAAUAAAUGGGUGUUGGAAAUGUCCUUGAGACGAUGAGAUCGAAGUUGCUUUUCUUUCAUGAUUUCUCUGUUCCUAUCAAGAAGUAUACUCAUAUUGCUAGCAGUACGAGACGCGCCAUCACUGCUCUGAGUACUGGUCUCGCUAGCACUACGAUAUAUGCCAUCACUGGUCUUUUGAUGUCCAUUGUUAUCAGUCCACAUAUUUGCAUUUUCCUGGUAUCCUUCAUUGUCACCAUUUUGCAUAUAUGCCUUUUCUCUAAUGACCAACCGGUGUAAACUUUGUCGACCACCAGCAUGCUCCAACUUCCUCAUGAUCCAAUACUGGCAGUAAUUUGAAAGGAAUUAGAAUGAACUUGUAAAGCAAAGCUAAGGGAAAAACUUUGAAUCAACCAUUGAACAAAAUCUAGUGGCUAGCUCUUAAAGAGGACAUCAAACACAUUGAAUAAUAUUAGCCAUCCAUUUCAGAUACUUUUUUUUUUUUCCUCUGUUUUAAGUAAUCGCUUAACAGAUUGAAUGGCUAUAAUCAUUCAACAUGAUCUUUCUGCAUCAAAUAUCUUCAGAGAGAUAUGAGAAGCCUCACCAUGUCUAAUUAAAAUUUGUCUCAAACUUUACAGUAACGUACCUUGAUUAUUUCUCCAAUAUCCAUAUUUGACUGGACAAUGUCAAUAGUCUUCAAAUACUCGUUGUUCAUUGCCCUUUUGUCCACUCUAUCGUCUGCAGCCAACAUAAUCACAACCCCGUAAUGUCCAUAAAUGGCAGCUAGAUGAAGUGGUGUGUUACCUUCCUUAUCUGGCUCAUUUAUGAUACUUUCCAAGUUUGGCUUCUUCAGGAUAUACUUAACGACUCUAGCGUUUCCAUAUUGAGCUGCAACAUGAAGAAUUGUGCGCCCUUUGUUGUCAAUCAAAUCAUAAACAUCUGGAAGACAUGUGAUAAUCUGUUCCAUUACAUUAGUGUGGCCCUCUUUGGCUGCAAUGUGGAGAGCACAACUGUGUUCUACAUCCAAUAAGCCAGCAACAGAUUUGUCAUACUUCAGUAACUUCUCAGUUGCUUCGAGGUGACCCAAGUGGGCAGCAUAGUGAAGAGGGGUCCACCCAAAUUCAUCUGCCUUUUUUAUCACAUCCUUCUUCAUUUCAAAUAGUACUUCCAUAAUAUCUAUACAUUGGGAGAAGAAGGUUAGAAAUCUUAAAAAGAAGUGGAAGAAUCUACUUAAAUAGCAUUUCAUACCUCACCAAAAAUCUGUCAAGAGAAAUGGAAAAGGCGACCAAAACACCCUUUCCCCCAUAUUUGAAGCUUAAAAAUGUCCUCAAUAAUGAUCCCCUUCAUUUCCAAAAAAAAGGAAAAUCCUCAUACAUCUUGAUAAAUAAACACAUGGCUUAAUCAGUUGUAUGGGUUGAAGGUCCUUUCUUUUUUCUUAUAUAGGAAUGGGUGUUCAAAUAGGGUGAGAAUGGAGAGAACUCUCCACUCAUAAGCUUUUUGCAGUAAAAAGGAAAAAGGAAAAAAUCCAACUUCUUAGUAAACAAGAAUGAAAAGGGCACAGGAUCUUCUUACUUUAGCUUAAUUAACUUUAAAAAAGGGACAAAAGGAGUCUUAUUAAAGCAGAGGAAUUUACCAAUUUCAUCAUUCAAUUGUUUUCCUUUGAAGUGUCCUCGUACCCUAAAGAAAAAGUUAGUAACCACACGGCGAAGUUUUUCUAGAGAUAAUUCUGGAACUUCUUGGCCUGCAGCAUGAUAUAACAAACUAAAAUCAGUGAUAUCCCCAUAAAAAUAACAAAAAAGGCCAAAAAAACAAAGGCUUGCCUUUUAGUUUGUUCAUCUUGCAUAAGGGAUUGAAAAAAGGAAAAGGAAAGAAAGAAAAUUAAAGCAAAGUCUUUUCCCAAAAGUGGUCCAUAUUCAGAAGAAAUAUUUGUUGAAAUAAUUUUUUAAACUUCAUACCAAACAAGGAAAUAAUGAAAGGUGAUAUUUUUCAUCUACUUAAUUUCUUUUCUUCAGUUUCUUCCUCAUUUUUCUCUCCAGGCAUGGUGGUAAAACUUGGGUCUUAGAAAGUCAACACCCAAAUGCCUGAAGACUUGUUUUUUUUUUUUUUUUUGUCACAAGAAUUAUCACUGGACGCCCUUUGCAUGCCCAAAUUAAACUUGAAAAAGUAAAAUAAAUUAACAUUAGAAAUGAAGAUUUCAGAUAUACUCCUACUAACCAACAUUGGAUUGUGUUCCUGGAAACCAUACUCCUCGUAGAUGCAGUCCAAGUCCAUUUACAGACAGCUCGGGUAUGGGUUUACCCAGCUCAGGACCUACAAGUUAAUUAGGAAGAAUCGAAGAAAUCUUUUAAGUAUACAAAAGCAAGCAUGAACAUAAACUUUUAUGCAUAGAAAGAUUUGGACCUUUAUGGGUACGAAUCACAGCUGCAUGUAAAGCGGUCAUCCCUUUCGUGCCCUCACAGGAACAAACAGAACUUUUUUCUUCCAACAGAAAGUUAGCAAUCUUGAAAAACCCCCUUUCCACAGCCAAAUACAAGGGGGACUCUUUAUGAUUAUUAACCAGGUCCAACAACAUAGAAUUUUCUUGAACCAACGGUUUCACCACCUCAAGAUGACCAUUCCUCACAGCCACAUGCAGUGCCGUAUCAGCCCUCUCAUUCUUCAUUUCCAGUGCUUGCUCGGCCUUUUUACUUUUAAGAAAGCACACAACAAUGUCACUACAGCCAGUUCUCGAGGCGAUAUGCAGCGGAGUGUCGCCUUUGAAGUCAGCACUAGUCAGAAGCUCUGGAAACUUCUCAACAAGAGCUUUAGCAAAGCCUAUGCGCUUGAAAUUAGCAGCAAUGUGAAGAGCAUUGCGUUUCUGGGAUGUGGCUUGGCAGCGAAUACUCUGGGGGCCAUGUGGCUUCUGCAAGUAGUCCGUAUCCCCAGUCUUAGCAGCUAUGUAAAGAUCAGUAUCCAUGUUUUGACAAGGGAAAUCAGAAUCCAUGGGGAUGCUUGCUAGGAAUCUCCUUCUUUUCAGUCUACAUAUGUAUUACUAAAAGAAUAGACCAGUCCACAUCAAAUGGUAUACAGAGCUUGCUCAACAAUAAUUUCACCUCUCACCUACUGCAUUAAAAAAAGCUCAUAUCAUCACAAAAUUUUUAUAGUACAUAUAAAUAAUUUUGUUUCAUAAAUUAUCAUUAUUAUCACUUCAAUAUAUAUUAGUUUUAUGAAGGGUUUAUGAUUGUAGACGAGUCAAAAGUCAUCCAUUUUUGUUUUGUUUCUCGCCUAGUGUGGGCAUUUUGGCUGUCAUCCAUAUUUGUUUUGUUUAUUACUUAAAAGUGUGGGCAUUUUGGCUCUUUUACGGUGUGGCCAUCGAUGCAAAUGCUUACACAAAGCUUCAAUGAAUUUUGUGACACCUCCCCGUGGAAACUUGCCACCAAACCUCCCAAUUCAGAAAUGUUGUUUUUAAAAUAAUAAGAGAAUUGAGUAAUUUUCUUUCUUUCUUAUCUCCAAUGUUUUUGCUAAAUACUUUCACUUUUGGAGCUUGGUUUUAUUUCUGAUUUCAUAAGUCCUAAGAUAUCUACUACCAUGUACCUUGAAAGGUUGGUGUUGAAUCUAUCGAUUAAUUGUAUAUGUUAGGACAAUGAGUCUUCAUCAUAAGUUAGCAAUUUUGUUCCUUUUAAUUUCUGGCUUAAGAAUCUUUUUAGAUAGUGACUUACUUUCUAUUGAAGAUUCAAGGUUGUUGUUCGAUCAACUGGAAAAUCAUAUGUAAAUCUAAAAAAGUUUUACUUGUGGCAAGUUAGGUGUUUAAAAGGGUUAAGUGGAUCGGUAUAUUUUUUAUUGAAUUAAAAAUGUUUUAUUUAAUAUUUUGAAAAUGCAAGGGAUGCUCGAGUGGUGGAAACAAUGCUCAAGCAUUGGGACUACUCAAACACUUAUCCAGCACUUAAGUGAUCAAGGCACUCAAGUGGUAGGUAAGUGCGCUCGAGUGCUCAUCCCAAAUCUACGAAAAUAUGGUAGAAUAUUUUUGGAUAAUUCAUGCAAAUUGAGUUUGGAAACUUCACUAUACCAAUCCCCUAGGGCUUGGAGGCCUAUAUAAAUCCAUCUAUAACCCUUUUAGUGUUGGCCACUUAUUAAGAGUAAUCAAACUUGUCAUACCAUUCCCAAUCUCUCAAAUAAGGAUUCAAGGUUUGAAUCUUUGGGUUGUUGGAAGAUUUGCAUCCCUUCAACGAGGUUAAGAUGCAUUCACUGGAGCAAUUGGAGACUGUUAUGUCAUGAACAUGGAUCAAUUUGUAGGUUCUAGAGAGUAAGUCUUUAAGGUAAAGUAGUUAGAUAAUUUUGUGUAACUUGAUCUCAUAUAGAAGAUUUAGAUUUGAAGUCAUGGACCCCAUGAUUUUUUAUCUCCAAAGUUAGUGUGCAAGUUUUCCACACAAAAAUUCCUACGUCCAUUGCCUACUUAUUUGUUCAUUUUGAUUAUUUUGAUUAUUUUGAUUAUAAUGGUUAUCUAUGAUAUCUCACAAGUUAAAAUUGGGUUAAAAAUUCAACUUCCUAUUUAUUUAUUUAUUUUUAAAUUCACUAAUUUACCCUCAUUUGGGUGUUACCCUACUGGAUAUAGAUUUUUCAAUUGGUAUCAGAGCAGGAUAAAAAUCAAAUUUUUAUUGAUCCUACAAGUCCAGUAUGGAACAAGCAAGAGCUAGGGCUCCUCUAAGUAGUCCACCUUACUUUGAUGAGAGUGACUAUGCAAUGGAAAUCCUAAACAAAAUUUUUUCUAAAAAUGCAAAUUGAAAGGGUUUGGAAUUUAGUGGAAUAUGGAUGGGGACCCCCAUUGAAACUUGAAGUGAAUGGGAAAUCAACUAGUAAGUUAAAACCCCAACAAGAAUGGGAUAAAUUAGAUAAUGAUGGAAGUUAGGCCAAUGCUCGAGCUCUCUUUAGCAUUUUUAAUGGGGAAAGUCCUUAUGAGUUUCAUAAAAUAGUCAAUUGUACUCAUGCUAAGGAAGCCUAGGAUAUUUCCAUGUCACUCAUGAAGGCAUUUCUGUUGUGAAAGUGUCUAAGUUACAAAUGCUCACUUGUAAAUUUGAAAGUAUUAUAAUGCAAGAGAAUUGGAACUUCUAUUUCAUUUUAUUCUGAAUUGAGUGACAUUGUCAUUCUUCUUUUAAUCUUGGAGAACCAAUCCUUGAUUAUAAAGUGGUAAGAAAAAUACUAAGGUCUUUACCAAAAAAAUUUAGGCCUCAAGUCAGUGCAAUAAAGGAAAGGAAAGACAUUGAUUUGAUGAGAAUUGAUGAACUUGUUAGUUCCAUUUAAACCUAUGAGAUGACCCUUCCUAAUUCUCAAAAGCCAAAAGAAUCUACUUUCAAGGCCUUUAAGAAUGAGGGAAAAAAAACUAAAAAUCCUAAUGAUUUAACUAGGAUGAACUUGCUCAUAUAGCAAAAUGAAUUAAGCAAACCAAGAGAAUAAAUAGAAAAUCUAAUAAAAAUAAAAAAUCUAGAAAGGGGAAAUGAACUAAUAGAUCUUCUAAAGAAAAUGAUAAAAGAAUCUCCAAGGGUAAAAAGAUAUAAUGUUUUAAUUGUGGAGGUUUGGAACAUUUUACUACUAACUGUCUUAGCCCCAAGGAAAUUAAAAAAUCAAUGCAAGCCUCUUGGAGUGACAUUGAUUCUAAAGAGAGUGACUCCACAACUUUUGAAGAUGCAAGGUAUGAACAAAAUGAUUAUUGGGAUUUUGUUGCAUUUGUUGAUUUUGUGUAUGAUGGUGAUAGUGAUGGUGAAUGUGAAUGUGAAUAUACUAAUGAACAAAAUGCUACUUUCCUUGAUAACCUUGUUGUCGAGUAUCAAAAUCUAAUUAAAAAUAUUUGAAGAAUCAUGAUAUUCUUGAUGCUCAUAAAGCUAAAAUUGAAUUGCUUAAUGAAAAAAGAACUAAUUAUCUUGAGAAAAAUCAAUUUCUUGAGUCUAAACAUCAUUCUCUUCUUAAGAGAAACAAUGUUCUCACCCAAGAAAUUGAGAAAAUAAAAUUCUUUUCUUUUACAAUGAAAAUUUUCACCUUAGGACUAAAGUUUUCAAUUAAAUUUUUAAUAAAUUCAAAACCCACUAUGAUAAGAGAGGUUUAAAGUAUAUUAACAAGACUGAAACUCCUAUUAGUGGAGAUAUUGUUUUUGUAAAACGUAAAGAAUAAAACCCUAGGAAGCGACACCUUCUAAUUCACUUUGCACACAUUGUAAGAAGUUUAGACAUACUCAUCAUAGGUGUUACACAAAAUUUCAUGAGAGAUAUGAGUCUCAACUAAAUAGGCUAGUGAAUGAGUUUAAUUCUCUAAAAAACAAUAUUUUAAACAAUGGGAAAAUGAAGAAAAAUAAUCAAAAGUCUAAGACUCAGCAAAGCUCCUCUAAGCCACCACCUAAAGUAAAAUAAGUAUGGGUAAGAAAAGAUAGAUCUAAUUGUCAAGUUGUUUUGACUGCCCUUAAGGCUAAAACUCCUAGUGCAUGGUAACUCGAUAAUGGAUUCUCUAAGCACAUGACAGGUAAUAAGUCAUUUUUUAUCCCUCUUAAGGAUUUUAAUGGAAGAAGCAUCACCCUUGGGGAUGGCAGUGUAUCCCAUGUCAGAGGUAAGGGUAGUAUUUCUAUCCUUAGUUGCCCAAAGCUAGAUAGAGUCCUUUAUGUUGAGAUACUCAAAGCUAAUCUCCUCAGUAUUAGCCAGAUUUGUGAUAGCAACUUUAAGGUUAAUUUAUCCUAAAAUAUGUGUGAAGUAAUGAAUGAAAAGAGAGAAAUCUUUUUCAUAGGGCAUAAAAUAGUGGAUAAUUUCUAUGCAAUUAAUCUUAGUACCAAAACCUCCUUAGUUUGUAGUAGAGCUAAGCUUGAUGUCACCAAAUUGUGGCAUAGGAGGCUAGGUCACAUGAACUAUAGAGACUUGAUCCACAUAGCUAACAAAGACCUUGUUAAAGGUAUCCCCAAGUUGAAUGGUCAACCUAAAUCCCUUUGUGGUGAGUGCAUGAAAGAUAAACAAGUCAAAACCAUACAUAAAAAAGAUUCAAGGGAUUAGUACCACUAAGCCUUUAGACCUUCUCCAUAUGGAUCUUAUGGGUCCCAUGUGCAUUGAGAGUAAAGGUGGGAAAGAUGUGUACUAGUUGUGGUUGAUGAUUUUUCUAGCUAUUCCUUUGUAGGUUUUCUUAAGGAAAAAUCUAAAACCAUUGAGCACUUGAAGUCUUUAUGCACUAGAAUUUAGGUGGAAAUAGGCCAUCAAAUUGUUAGGAUUAGGAGUGAUAGGGAGAGAGAAUUUGAUAAUGUAGAUAUUGAUUUCUUUUAUGACUCAAAUGGAAUUAAACAUGAAAACUCAACCCCUAGAACUCCCAACAGAAUGGAGUGGUUGAAAGAAAAAAUAGAGUUCUUCAAGAAUUGGUAAGAGCCAUGUUUCACAUGCACAAUACCCCUAUACAUUUUUGGGUUGAAGUCAUUAAUACUGCUUAUUACACUACCAAUAAGGUUUUUCUUAGGCCUAGAAUAAAGAAGACAUCUUAUGAAUUGUGGACUAGGAGAAAACCUAGCCUUAAGUACUUUAGGACAUUUGAUAGUGAGUGUUAUUUACUCAAAGUGGUGAAAACCUAGGCAAAUUCAAUUCUAAGUCUAAUUUAGGUAUUUUCCUAGGGUAUUCCAAUAAAAGUAAAGCCUAUAGGGGCUUUAUAAACAAAGCUCUAAAGUUAUCCAAGAAUCUUCAAAUGUGGUUGUAAAUGACAUCGGGUAUGAUCAAGAUGAAAUUGAUCUUCAAAUUGAUAAAUGGUAGUUUUUUCAUUCAUUCUUUCAUUCGUUCAUGUACAGAGUAUAUAUAAAGGGUAAUCACCAUUCUAAGAAUGGGAAAGAAUGAUACAAGGAAAUAAUGAUAUAAGGAAAAAACAACUAAUAUCCUAAUAUCUCAACUUUCCUAAUAUUUAAACAUUCAUAAUAUCUCAACACUGAAUGAUAUAAGGAAAUAAUGAUAUAAGGAAAGCAUUCCUAAUAUCCCAACACUCCCCCUCAAGUUGGUGCAUAGAUGUCACACAUGCCCAACUUGUCUAAAAAUUUUGAGAACACUUGACUUGAGACAGCUUUGGUGAGGAUAUCGGCCAAUUGAUCUUUUGAUCGAAUCUUAGGCAAUUCCACAAUCUUAUCAUCCAACUUUUCCUUAAUGAAGAAUCUAUCCACCUCGACAUGCUUUAUACGAUCAUGUUGUACUGGAUUAUGAACAAUGUCACAUGCGGCAUUAUUGUCACAAAACAAUCGGAUUGGUUGCCUAGAUAGGUAACCUAAAUCCUAUAAGAGGAUUCUUAGUCGUAAUGCCUCACAAAGUCCUAGAGUCAUACCUCUAAAUUCUGCUUCUGCACUUGAACGAGCGACGACAUUCUGCUUCUUACUUUUCCAUGUCACAAGAUUACCACCUACAAAGGUAAAGUAACCAGAUGUAGAUCGCCUAUCAUCCACUACACCGGCCCAAUUAGCAUUAAUAUAUACUUCUAUACUCUGAUGAUCAACAUUUUUACCGAACAAAAUUCCCUUCCCAGGAGCAUCCUUCAAAUACCUCAAAAUAUGCAUGACUGCAUUCAUAUGUUGCUCUCCAGGAUUAUGCAUGUAUUGACUCACUACACUCAAUGCAUAAGCAAGAUCUAGUCUUGUAUGAGCUAAGUACAUUAAUCUCCCCACAAGUCUUUGGUAUCUUCCCUUAUCGGUUGAUACUUGAUUAGGCUCAACACACAAUUUCAGACCUUCUUCUAUUGGUGUAUUAAUAGGUUGACAUCCCGACAUUCCAAUAUUCUGUAAAAGAUCUAAGGCAUACUUUCUUUGAGACAGAAAAAUUCCUUCACUUGAUCGAGAAACUUCAAUCCCAAGAAAGUAUUUCAGAUGACCUAGAUCUUUCAUUUAGAAUUCUCUAGAUAGAGAAUUCUGUAGAGCUUUUCUUUCUUCAGGAUCAUUUCCUAUAACUACCAUGUCAUCCACAUAUAUGAUGAGUGUCGUAAUCUUACCAUGUUGUUUUUUCAGGAACAAAGUGUGAUCUGAGUUACUUUGAUGAUAGCCAAAAGCUCUCAUUGACUUUGUGAACCUUCCAAACCAUGCUCUCGAGGAUUGCUUCAACCCAUACAAUGACUUCUUCAAUUUGCACACCUUCUGACAUUACUUUUCUAACACCAUGCAUCCUGGUGGAAGAUCCAUAUAUAUUUCUUCAAAUAACUCGCCAUGCAGAAAGGCAUUUUUCACAUCGAACUGUUGUAAUGGCCAAUCUAGGUUUACAGCUAAAGACAAUAAUACUCGAAUUGUGUUGAUCUUAGCUAUAGGUGCAAAUGUCUCUGUGUAGUCAAUUCCAUAAGUUUAAGUGUACCCUUUUGCUACCAGUCUUGCUUUAAAUUGUUGAAUACUACCAUCUGCCUUGUACUUCAUAGUAUAGAUCCAACGACACCCAACUGGCUUCUUUCCUGGUAGACAUUCUACGAGUUCCCAUGUUUCAUUCUUCUGCAAUGAUUUCAUCUCUUCAUUCAUGGCUGCUUUCCACCUUGGAUCAGCUAAGGCUUCUUGCACACUGUUAGUAAUAGCUACAGUAGAUAAUUGAUUUACAAAUGACUUAUUUGAUUUAGACAAACGAUGGUUAGACACAUAGUUGCUCAUGGGAUAUUUGACUUUGGUAGACAAUUCAGGUUCAUAUGUGGGUUUAGGAAUACCUCUAUUAUGAUGGUGUGGUAACCGUUUCAUGAAUGGAUUAGGUUCUAAAUUAAGAACACCCUCAGCAGACGAAAAUUGGUUUGGUAUUUCAAUAAAGGCAUCUUCAAACCCAAAUUGUUCAGAUGGUUCAAUUGUAUUGUCUCUUCCCUCUUCUAUCACUUUUUCAGCUUUUGGGUGGUCAUUCUACUUGGUUCUAGAGUUGUACCACUCAUAUCCAAUUUACCCGCUUCCUGGUUCACUAGUUCAAAUUGUCCAGAUUCAUCAUCCUUAGAGAUAUGAUAAUCAUAAUUGAGAGUCUGAAUUUCCUUAUGGUACUCCCCCUAAAGUUUAGACUCAGAUGAAAAAUACAUCGAAUCUUCAUGAAACACCACAUCCAUUGUAAUAAACAUUCGUCGAGUUGGAGGAUGGUAACAUCAAUAUCCCUUUUUGUUCAAUGCAUAUCCAACAAACACACAUUGCAAUGCACGGGAAGUUAACUUGGUGCAUUGGUGUUUGUGUAGAUGCACAAAUGCCACGCAACCAAAAAUACGAGGAGGUAGAUUUGUGACAGUUGGGGCAACUACUGCAUUAGUAAGAGCUUGGAGAGGUGUUUGGAAGUCAAUUGAGCUGGAAGGUACCCGAUUGAUCAAGUAUGCGGCAGAUGUGAUUGCUUCUCCCCAAUAAGAUAUCAGUAUUUUUGCUGCUAUCAAGAAAGCACGAACAACCUCUAACAAGUGCCAAUUUUUCCGUUCAGUGACUCCAUUUUGUUGGGGUGUAUUGGAACAAGUAGUCUGAUGAAUGAUGUCAUGUCCUUCCAAAUACUUUUGAAGAUCAGAACUUUGAUAUUCUCCACCAUUAUCGCUACACAGAACCCGAACCUUUGCAUUUUAUGAGUUUCAAUCAUUUUAUGAAAUUUUUUAAACAACAAGUUCACUUCAUCUUUGGUCUUCAUCAAGCAUAACCAGGUCAUUCUGGUACAAUCAUCAAUAAAAAUAACAAACCAACAUGAGCCACUCAAAGUUGGGACUUUGGAUGGGCCCCAAACAUCAGAAUAUAUAACCAUAAAAGGAAGCGGACUUUUAUUCAAAAUUAAUGGAAAUGAAGCACGAUGGCUUUUAGUCAUUUCACAAAUAUCGCAACGAAAACCAGAAAUAUCACUCUUUGCAAACAAACUAGGAAACAAUUUUUUUAAAUAACCAAAGGAAGCAUGUCCCAGACGUCGAUGCCACAACCAAAUUUCAGACUUUUUCUUCUCCCCCUCAGAUCCAUCUGCCAUCAAGGCUUGUUGCAACUUAUUUGAAUCCUUUGACUGCAAGUCCAAGUAAUAGAGUUUUCACCGCUUAAUACCACAACCAAUCAUCUGUCUUGUUUGGAUGUCUUUAAUAACACAAAAUCAGGCCAAAAAAUGACAAUACAAGAUAAGGCUGCAGUGAUUUGAGAAACUAACAAAAGAUUGUAAUCUAAAAAUGGAACAACUAAAACAUAAUCCAAAUUCAAAGUAUCAGUAAGAGUUAAGGAUCCUUCCCCAAUGACUGGGGUUGUGUUACCAUUGGCUAUGGAAACAAUUUUUUUGUGAGGAAAGUCUAAGGAGUGAAACUUGUUUAGAAUCAAAAGUCAUAUGAUUUGUAGUGCCAGAAUCAAUUAUCCAUGCACUAUUAAUAACAGGUGUAGAAGUAUUUAAAAACUUACCACCAUAAUCUGUAGCUGCUACCAAUAUAAAGGCUUUCUCAGCAACAUUAGCCUCUGUUUUUAUUUCGGCAACAGUUGCAGUCGAGGUUUUCUUAGAAUCUUUCUUUCGUUGAUCACGAUUAUUAUCAUUAAUAACAAAGUGGUGAUAACCUAAACAUGAUCUAAAGGUCCAUGGUUCAAACCCUCGGUUCCUCAUUGUUUUCCUGGUCAUAUACAUUGAUGGCAUAGUUUAUAAGGGUAGGAUUGACACUAGGUUCACUUUUAUGCAAAAGUGUUUUGGUAAUUAUGUGAAUUUGCAUAAAGGAUAGUGAAUAAGGUCUUUGGAUUGAUUUAAUUGAAUAAUUAGAUCAUCCUAUGAGGUUAAUUAAUCAAUUAGAAAAAUAAAAAUAUUUCAUGGUAGGUAGGAGGAAAGGGUAAUUUUAGAAUUUUGAUGAAUAUAACUAUUUUAAGUGUAAAUUUAUAGGAUUAGUUUUUGUAAGUGAUAAGUCAAGUCAAACAUCUCAAAAAAAAAAAAUUUAAGGUGCACAUGAUUAUAUGAUUCUUCCUAUCUCAAGGCUGGGGCCCAUGCUGAAAUAAUAUGUCAACAACCCUCCUUAACGUAGAGUUGUAAUAGCUACUUCCCUUCUAUGUCUCUGAUAUUUCAGUCGAGUGUGGCUGCUUUUAACGCUUCAUCUACCUCAUCUUCUUUUACGUUGAGCGUGGAAUCCACCGUCAUCUCUAGCCUCAGCAUAUGAUUUGAACUUAAGAGUACCCACACUGACUUUUCAAGUUUUGUCCAGUUGAGGAAACGUUGAAAAUUAUUAGUAGAAGACUGAUAAUGCAACCUUCUUCAUAUGAUGGGUGAUUUUUGAACACUACUUACUCUAACCAAAUACCAUUACGUACGUAUAAGUUAUAACAAGACCAAUCAAGCAAAAUUAUCAUUUUGGUGGAUAAGGGUGUUUUGAGCAGCAUAAGUACAAAAGAAUCAAUUCUUUUCCCAAAGAACAGACGAAGCUCUUGUCCAAAAGUGGGGUGGAGGAAGACUGGAAGAGCGGUCUUUGUUAAAAGCCGAUAGCCAUGGACCCUCUAUGUCCCCUCAUAGGUUAUUAAAAACAUAUAAAAUGGGAGGGCCAUCUUGUUGGAGCACCACAUAUUUGACCAAAUAUCUAAAGACCUUCACUGAAUAAUCCGAAUCUGGAUUUGGCUGCCUCCUUAUCAGUCUUUCUUUAUAGCCCCAAUUAUUUCCACCUUUUGGGAAAGUGGUAGUGAGUAGAUAAUAUGGCUGUCAAGAUGGGAUUCACACUAUUUGUGGAGUGGUAGUUGUUGAACGUCUGGUAAAAGGAGCCAUCUCCACUGUGAUAGAGUGGAUGGAAUAUCUUUUCUCCUUGAUUACACAAAUACUUGUUUAAUUAGUUCUUAUUCUCCUGCGAGUAACUUAUGGUUGAUUGCUUGAACAGGUAUGAGGGGGAAAAAAAAAAGACGGCUGGAAUUACAAAAUAAAAUAAAAAUAAUGAUGGCUUCGAAUGAGAUCACACCUUUCAUCACCGACCCAACGCAUGCAGAGGAGUCAGAGGCGUAGACAACGCCACAUGGAGGCAGUGGAGACAUGGUCAGUAGGAUAAUUAAUAUCCAUGUGGAUAACAGAGUGGGUCAAAACAAUGCCAUUCCCAUCAUGAAUGAACACUCAUCAACUUCCGCGUUUACUUGACUUUUGGGAGAUUUGCAAAACAUCUACAGAGAGAUAUCACUGGAAGAAUUCUCUUCUCAUUAAUCAUGUUAUAAAACUGAUGAUUGAGUUAAGGCUGGUCUAUAAUUUCCAGCAGUGGUAAUAAAAUAACGAGUUGCACAAGUAUGCAGCUGUUUAGAAAGAAAGAUGACCAUGGGUGGUUGCAACGCGCAACAAAAAGUCUCAUCAGACUUUUCAUCCCUGGGAAUCUUGCACUCGCGAGGUAGUUCCUCAGACAUAAGACCUAGCCUAAUCAAACCAGGACCCAACCUGGUACAAACUACUGUUUCAACCACUCAGUACUUAAGGAAUCACUUCCUAGCCACUAAGAUCAUAAACUAAUCAAAGCCCAACCUGGUACAGGCUGCUUUUUCAAAUACUCAGGGAAUCACUUCCUAGUCACUAAGAACAUAAACUAAUCAAACCCAACCUGGCACAGGCUACUUUGUCGACUAGUCAGUACUCAGGGAUCACUUCCUAGUCACCAAGAUCGCUAAUUUAGAAAAUCUUAACACUGAAAAAUGACCUUUUCAUCUGCAUGAGCACAUGCCUUUCACAUCCCACUGAAUAUAAUCUUAACAUCUGUUUCAUUAGUAUGAUUCUCUUAAGCUAUUGACUACAAUAUUUACUUGGAAACGAUAUCAAAUGGAAAAAGAUAACCGAUUCAGAAAAAUGUAAAGCAAGGUACAAAAUACUAGAUGGAGAUAUCUCAAAGAAAGAAGUUCUGUUCCUAUAGCUAAACUAAUGCACACGAUCAAAUCUAACACUGACAUUUGUUCUUGGAGCCAGACAGAAAGCCAAGUACAGAUACAGAGUGUUUUCAAGAUGGGAUUAUUUGGUGUUUUUAACUAUUUAAGUUGAAUGAUGAAAACACAUGACUUCAACAAUGACAAACCAAAUUGGUAAGUAUCCUGCUUAAUAACCAUAGUUUGCUCCAUACACCGGACCAUAGCCUCCAGUGUGGCUUGCAUGUGCUGGGUUGGAUGCAGGAGAUGCAUACAUCGAACCAUGAGCUGCAUAAGAAUUAUAGCCUUGGUCAGCAGAUCCACCAGCUUGGGCCUGUGCUGGUGCAGCAGCUUCAGCCAUAAAAUUCUGCAACACAAACAAUCAUUAUAAGCAGACAAGUCCAAGUUGAUUAGAUGUGCAUAAUGAAGCAUUGACAAAGAAUAAACAAAA